GAGUUAUUUACCUAGAAGACUAGCAAUCCUCACAAUACAUGGAAAAAUCACAUACACUUUACAUACUGUUGGCCUCCCCCAUACAGUUGGUCAAUGUUGUGCACAUACUGUUUGAAAACACAUAUAUCAUACCCAGUUAACCACACAUACAUACACAUAUUUCUAACUUCUGCUUUUUGAAAAUACAUACAUACACAUAUAAUUAACCACAUAUGCAUCCAACUUCUGCUCUGAAAAUAAAUACAUACAAAUACAAUUAGCCACACAUACAUACACAUAAAGUUACAAUAUUCAAAAUGGUAUUCACAUGAUUUCAGUAAGAAUUAGAUUUUAUAUUCGCACGCAGGGGAAUAGGCACAUGUAAGUAGUCAGGGUGUCCAAUUGGACACCCUUCAUCAGAAAAGAAAUACUGCAUAUACGAGUAAAAUGAUACACGAAGUGAUUAAAUAAUAUAUUUUGGAUACCCUUAACAUAAUAGAUUGUUAUAGCCUAGUGGUUUAAGAUGUCUUGAAUGUAUGUUUAGACAACUUUAAUGAGCUAGUGUCGUGUGUUCAAAUCUCACUUGCAACAAAUUUUCCCAUUUUAAAAAAGAGUUUUUGUUGUUUAAUUUUUGGACCCUCUUCGUGAAAUUCCUCCCUCCGCUACUGUUCGCAUGGAUACAAUAUAUUUUGCUAUGAUUUGAAAGAAAAAUACAAAAACUAAGGGGUCGUUUGGUAGAGUGUAUUAAAAAAAAUAAUGCAUGCAUUAACCUUGUAUAUUACUAGUACCUUGUUUGGUACUCUUUUCCAACCUAUAAGCAUUAGUUAUACACUCUAUUGUAUAUUAAGGUGUGUAUUGCUAAUACCAUGGAUUUCUAGGUAUUAGCAAUGCAAUGAUUUUAAUGCAUGCAUUAACGCAAUUAAAGACCCAAUUGCCCCUCAAUACCUUUUUUUUUUUUCUUUCUUUUCCACCAUAAUAGUGAAGGGUAUUUUUAUAAAUAAUUUUAUUAAUGCAAGCAUAACUAAUACAUGCAUUGCUAAUGCAAACAUUACUAAUACACUCUACCAAACGACCCCUCUUGAAAUUUUUCCAAGACAAAUACACCCAACUUAAUGCCUCAAACAAACAUGGCCCAUGGGCCUUAUCCUCUAAAAACAAACCCAAACCCAAAAAUCUCCAUCAUUAUGGACCCAAAAUAUCUCUUCAAACACCACAUCUCCUCUUCCCAAUAAAAUAUCCAACAUUUCACAUUAUAAAUCCCCAUAUCUACAUACAACACACUCUGUCUUCACAAUUCUUUUGCUUCAAUAAAAACCUUAUCUUCAAAAUUUUCUUCAACCCCUUCUCCAAUGGCUUCUUCUUCUUCUUCCCUCCAUUUCCUUUCACUUACACCACAAACACUCCCAAAACCCACUUCCCAAACAACUUCAAUUUCCUUCUUUUCACUUCCUCCUUCCUCUUUAAACCUUUCUUUAUCAUCUUCUUCAACCCCAAGAAACUUCGAAUCUUCUCGUUUUGUUCGUAAAGUAACCCUUUCUGAUUUUGACCAAAUUGAGGAAGUUGAGGCUGGUGAUGAUGAUGAGGAGGAGGGGGGUUUGAGUGAUGAAGGUGCUUCAUAUGAAGAACGUAAUGCCAAUCCUGACCUUAAAAUCUUUGUUGGUAAUUUGCCUUUCAGUGUUGACAGUGCGGCUCUUGCUGAGCUUUUUGAGCGUGCUGGAGAUGUUGAAAUGGUUGAGGUAAUUAAAAGAUUCAAUCUUUUUUUGUGGGGUUUAGUUGUUUUGGUAAUUUGAGGUUUUGUUUGCUAUGGUUGAGGUAAUAAAAAAUUGAAUCUUUGCAAACCUAAAAGUAGUAGAAUUGGCCUUUUGGGUCGAUCUCGUCCCACUGGGCUUGCAUUGUUUGCGAGCUAUUGGAUAGGAGUGGGGUUUACCUUGUGUGCAUCCAAAGGUAGCUGCACUGGGUUCCCUUUUCAUAAAAAAAAGUAGUGAAAUUGAAGUGUUUAUUAAACUUUGCUGCUUGUAAAUUGUAAUGCAUUGUUAAGGGAGAAAGAUUUAAUCUUAUUUGUGGGGUUUAUGUGUUUAUAUAGUUUUGAGGGAUUGUUUGGCUAUGUUUAAGUGAGAACCCUUGUGAAGUUUGUAUCUUUAAGGUCUGCUAAUCAUAAAAGUAGUAAAAUUGAAGUGGCUAUCUCUGAGUAGAUAAGAUGUUCACAAAAUUCAACAGGUUAAUAGAGCAGUAAAUGAUUAAUUGUUUUUAAGUAGGCUUCUUGUUUAGAUGAUUUGAAGUUUUGUUUGGCUAUGUUUAAAUAACUAACCUUGUGAAUUUUGAUUAUUUAUGAUUUGUGCUAACCUGAAAGUAGUAAAGUGGCUAUUUCUGACAGUUUAGUCUGUUAGAUAAGAUGUUCCCACAAUUCAACCUAUUAUCAGAGCAAUCCCAUACAUGAGGGGAUAUAUAACAUAUCUAAGAGUAACAAGUAAAUGUGUCUUAUCAUAACAAGUUAAACUUUAAGAUGAGGCUUUUUAUACUAUUCAACAAGGUUUUUACUGGAUAAGUUUAUUUAUGCUUUACGAAUCCUUUGGGGUUGCUCAAAUGGUUUGACUUGAGACUUCCCUAAUGGAGGUCUCAAGUUCGAAACCCCUUGCCUGUGACAGUAUGGGUUGGCCUUCUGGGGUGAGCUCGUUGCACGGGGUUUGCCUAGUGCGGUUUACCCCUCGUGUGUGGUUUGCAAGCUAUGGCAAAGGAGUGUGGUUCCCUUGUCAUAUAGAAGAAGUUUUUAUUUAUGCCUUAAGGUGUUAUAGAAGGAAAUUGUUCCGGCUUCUUGAUUUUUUGGUGUACAGUUAGGAUAUUAAGGAUUUUAUGGUAGGCUAAUGGACUUGUUAAAUUGAAAUUCCGCUUGGCAAUGUUUGAAUAGGCAACCAUGUUGAGCAUUUAAGGUUUUGUUAUUGAUAUAAUCUUAUUGUGUGACUUUAGCAUAAAUGGUUGUUGUUUUCAAUCUUGAUUGGGAGAGUGAGGAUGUGAAGAAUUGGAUAAGAGGUUUAAUCGGACUUACUGGAGCUGCUAACUUUUGCAGGUUAUCUAUGACAAGCUUACAGGAAGAAGCAGAGGUUUUGGCUUUGUGACAAUGUCCUCCAAAGAGGCAGUUGAAGCCGCCUGUCAACAAUUUAAUGGCUAUGUAAAGUCUUUUGCUUUGUUGUCUUUUCUUGGUUAUUAUGCUCUAACGUGUGUGUCCAAAUAUUCCCUUAAGUCCUGAAUUUCCGUGUUCUUGGAUAGCUUAAUCUAUUUUUGGAAUUCAAUUGUUGUGUUCAGUUAACAAUUUUAAAAAUGGUAUAACGGAAGACCAGUACUCCCUUUUAAUAUUAACAUAUUUUGCAAUGUGCCAUACUGCAGAUUUCAAUACUAAUUUUGAUGAUGAAAUCCCCCCCCCCACCACACACACACACACACAAAAAAAAAAAACUAUAAAAAUUGCUGAUUAAGUGAUUUCAGCUCUCAUUCUCAACCAUCAUUUUGUGGAUCCUAAUACGCUUGUUAUUAGUAAUACUUUCUUUAUGCAAAAUUUCUUUGCUGAAAUUCAACACUAAGCAUAAUUGAUUCCUUUGGCAGGAAAUUGACGGGAGGGCACUGAGGGUGAAUUCUGGGCCAGCACCACCCAAAAGGGAGAAUUCUUUCGGGGACAAUUCUUCUUACCAGGGAGGUAGGGGUGGAGGGAGUAUGGACAGUUCCAACAGAGUCUACGUAGGAAACCUUGCAUGGAGUGUUGACCAACAGCAACUUGAGACCUUGUUCAGUGAGCAAGGAAAGGUCGUGGAUGCCAAAGUAGUCUAUGAUAGAGAUAGCGGUAGAUCAAGGGGCUUUGGAUUUGUAACAUACAGUUCCGCUAAGGAGGUCAACGAUGCAAUUGAAAGCUUGGAUGGUGUUGUAAGUCAUCCUUACUCAGCUAAACAAUUAUCUUUCUUUAUGUUUUGUAUGUGCAUGUGUCUUCACACGUUGAUCUCAUUUUCCAUUCAGGCUGGUUUUGUACCGGCUUAACAUUCACAUGUACUAGUCUGUUGUAACCCCCCCCCCCNNNNNNNNNNNNNNNNNNNNNNNNNNNNNNNNNNNNNNNNNNNNNNNNNNNNNNNNNNNNNNNNNNNNNNNNNNNNNNNNNNNNNNNNNNNNNNNNNNNNNNNNNNNNNNNNNNNNNNNNNNNNNNNNNNNNNNNNNNNNNNNNNNNNNNNNNNNNNNNNNNNNNNNNNNNNNNNNNNNNNNNNNNNNNNNNNNNNNNNNNNNNNNNNNNNNNNNNNNNNNNNNNNNNNNNNNNNNNNNNNNNNNNNNNNNNNNNNNNNNNNNNNNNNNNNNNNNNNNNNNNNNNNNNNNNNNNNNNNNNNNNNNNNNNNNNNNNNNNNNNNNNNNNNNNNNNNNNNNNNNNNNNNNNNNNNNNNNNNNNNNNNNNNNNNNNNNNNNNNNNNNNNNNNNNNNNNNNNNNNNNNNNNNNNNNNNNNNNNNNNNNNNNNNNNNNNNNNNNNNNNNNNNNNNNNNNNNNNNNNNNNNNNNNNNNNNNNNNNNNNNNNNNNNNNNNNNNNNNNNNNNNNNNNNNNNNNNNNNNNNNNNNNNNNNNNNNNNNNNNNNNNNNNNNNNNNNNNNNNNNNNNNNNNNNNNNNNNNNNNNNNNNNNNNNNNNNNNNNNNNNNNNNNNNNNNNNNNNNNNNNNNNNNNNNNNNNNNNNNNNNNNNNNNNNNNNNNNNNNNNNNNNNNNNNNNNNNNNNNNNNNNNNNNNNNNNNNNNNNNNNNNNNNNNNNNNNNNNNNNNNNNNNNNNNNNNNNNNNNNNNNNNNNNNNNNNNACAUGUUAUCGUCUGUUGCCCCCCCCCCCCCCCCCCCCAGAUGAUAUAUGUCAUCACUACAACAAAAAUAACUUUUAGCGGGAAUAAAUAUACACAUUAAACAAAGAGUGCUAAGCCUUUACUGGCAUUAGUUUAUUGUCAUUGGAUCCAAUGUCGUUAUAAACUUUAGGGACACUUACAAAGAGUGCGAAUUGCCGCUAAAAAUAUAUGUUUAGCGGCAAUUAAGCUAUUGCCGCUAAAGAUCAUUUUUGGUGUAGUGCAUGCUACUUAAUGUUAUGUGAUUUGCAUGGUUUAGAGUGUUGGAUCAGUUUUACCCGCAAUAUGUCUUCUAAAUGACGAUGUAAAUAUGCAUGAUUAUAUAGUUAUCAGGCGUGGGUUUCAAUCUUCUAGAUAUUUUUCCCUUUGACUUGUCUGCGUUUGUAGAUAUGUAAUAUACCGUCGAUCUAGUCUGGUAUAAUGUUAUUUAUGAAUCUGUUUUGCAUUCUUUUCUACAAACUUCUAUAUGAUUUUCUUCUAGUAAAAUGAGCUUUUAGUCAUACUUAUAAUUACUACUGCUUUGUUGAUCGUGCUUUUGAUUGUUUUUCCAUGUUAAACUUUGUGGUGUGUAGGACCUAGGUGGCAGGGCCAUCCGUGUAAGUCCUGCUGAAGCUCGUCCACCCAGACGUCAAUUCUGAAGAUUGUAGCCAACAUCUUUUUGACCGAGAAAAGGCUUGAGGUAAACAACUCGCGUGCUCUCUUUUUCUGGGCUGUUUCUUGAGUCUUCACAUCUUGAAAUUCAUCAAUAUAUCUAUGUUCAAUUGUCAUGCGAUUAGCAAGCCAAGUAAUAUAAGUUUCAAAAGUCGAACCAAAAUAUAUGCUUCUGUUUACAAAAGUGAAUAAUUUACAUGGCAGGGUCCAGGAGGUGACGAUAGUUGCAGAAAUGAAUGAGUUAUGAACUUUGCAACAGCUAUCUUAAACUUGCGCGGACAAACUACUCUCUACUUCUGGACUAACUAGAGCUCUCAAGUAAAUUAGUUUUCGUAAUGUAUGUUCUGAAAUUGCCUCAGGAAGAAAUUCUGAUCUUGUAAUAUGAUUCUAUCCAUCACUUGUUGACAGACAAGACAAUGAAAAAGUUUGAUACUCUUCGAAAAUGUAUCUUAGCGCGAAGCAUCCUUGUUCUACAAAUGAAUUAGAUAGAAUUGUGUGUUUAUUGUGCCUAUGCCUCUACAACUAUCCCCUUUUAGGUUGUGUUGCUCCUACUUCCCAAAAAUGCUACCAUGCCCAUGUCGAAUCCUCCCAUAAUGCACUACAUUUUGGAGGAGUUUUAGGUUUCAAGCAAUGUUAUCAAAGGCGCGCUUAAGCCUUGGAGUGAUGCUCAAAAUGCGUUGAGUGCUUUGCCUUGCUUAAUUUGUGCUUCAAUAUCGUCAUCAAGGCUCUACGACAUACUUCUCUUUGUGAAUGAGCAUUUCCCGAAGAGGCAAAGCUAAACCAUUGAGAUUUCACUUUAUCUUAAAACCAAUUAAUAUGUUCAUAUAUUUGUUAUUCAUGCUUAUAAGUGUUACUCCCUUUGUUCCUAAUUACUUGUCUACUUUUGAAUUGACACACCUAUUAAGAAAGCAAUUAUUGACAUAGUGAAUUUACCAUUUUAUCCCUAUUAAUUAUGAAGCGGAUGGAUUAAAAAUUCAAGAUUUUCAAGAAAUUGUACCUUUUUCAAAGUAAUUAAUUGAGGGUAUAAUAGGUAAAAUUAUUUUGUCCUUUCUUGAUUUGUCAAAAUGGAUAAGUAAUUAGGGACAACUAUAAAAGAAAAAGUAUACAAGUAAAUAGGGACAGAGGGAGUAGUUUUGAACAAAACCAUGUAUAGAUAUAUUUGUAUGUUUUCUCCGGUGGUAGGCUGAGAACUACACUAUAAUGCUAAAAAAUGUAACUUGCCAUUUUGGAACUACCAUAAGCGCUUAAAUUGAUAAAAGUUAAAUCUUAAUGGUGAUUGAUGAAAUAGUCAAAAUAUGCACAAGUUGAGUUGUAUUCUUAGUGAUUCACAAUUAAAGUGAUUUGUAGUAACUUAUAGUAGUUGGUUUUGUAUUGAAAUUCCAGUGAAGCCACUUGGUGAGUAAAUGCAAAUUAAACAUGCUAAAUAGAAGAUAAAAGAACAGAACAAUAUAUACUUGCUAAUAUAUUUUCAUAAUAUUCUCCACAAAAACAGAAAAGAAAAAAAGACAUGAAACUUUAAUCUCUAUGCUCUUGAAGCAGCGCCUAUGCUCUUUCUUAUAAUCAACAUGUUGAAUCUUGAGAGAUAACAACGCAAGCUUUUGAAGAAUCAACAACUAAUACUCCUGUUUGUGUACUGUCUUGUAAAUUCUCAACGCGUAAACCUCCACAAGACACCUCAACUUCGCGACAACUUAUGUGAGAAGCUGAUUUACGAUCACUCAUUUGAACUAUUCCACUUAGACUAACAGAAAAUCUUGUAGUUUGACCAGACGCGAAGUCACCAGCAAUAGAUGUACCAAUCCAAUAUUCAUAUGCCUCAGGUAAAGCUGCAAACGUUGAAUCGAUUAAGCUUUGAUCUUUUGCAUCUUGAUGGAAUUUAUCAAACACAUUGCCACUCCAAAGAAGGGUGUCGGUAUAGGAUAUGUUAGCCUUGAAAUCGUUGUAAUAGAAAUCAUAAUUGUUGUUAGGAUUUUGAACUGAGAAAGUGAGGUUCCAAUUGUUUGGAUUGUACAUUAUCAGAGGAUGAACAUAACGAGUCAAUACAGAAAAUGAAGAUGAUGACACUGCUUCAAUUUUGAAUUUUGGGAUCGCGAAGUACCAUAGUAGUAUCUUCAUGAUCAACAUAGAAUACGCGAAAAACUAGAGUGACACCAAGAGCUAUGGCUAAUACAAGUAGUAAGAUUUGUAAAACCAAAUUGUACUUUGACUUUUUUGUAGAAUCAAUUGUUGUUGCAUCCUUGUUAUUUGAUUUCUCCUCCAUUUGAUUACUACGAAAAAUAAAAAAAAUUGACAAAAAAUUGAUGAAAUAGAAGGUGUAUAAAGUAAGAGAAAGUUUACUAAUGUAGAUGUAAUUUCUUGGCUUAACGUGUGAUUGUUAUAUAGAAAAGCAAAAGUCAUUAUUCUAAAAGGAUUAGGAGAAAUUGUUUCCAUUAUGGAAUCGGAUUAAUUUUAUUUUAAGGCAUAAAGUGUUUGUUUUACGAAAAAGAAACGUUUUUCCUAAUUGUAUUCUACUUAGAUUUGAUAUUUUUGGAAACUUAUUUGUCUUCUUUUUUUUCCUUUCCUUUCCUUUUCUGUUUAUUUUAUUAACCUUUUAGUUUACUUUAAGUCGUAUAUUAUUUCAAAAAUAAUUUUUCCAUGUUACUUGUUACUUUUAAUAUAUUAAAAAAUAAUUAUUAUUAAUUUUUCAUAUUUUAUCUUUAACAUUAAUUACUCAUUUCAAAUUAUUUUUUAAAAUAUAAUACUUAACAUCUGUUAAUAUGAGUAUUAUAAUAAAACUAGUAAAUUUAUCCGCGCUAUGCACGGUAUUAAUUUUUUAAAUAGUUAUCCUUUUAUAAUCUAUAUAUUAAAAUUUAAGUUUUAUUCUAAUUUAUUGUUAACAUUUGCUUUCCACUUAGUUUUAUCAAUAAAAUUUGAAGAGAGAUUGAUCUCUUAUAUCACCUUGUGUCAUCAAAUAGGACAAAAAUAUGUUACCUCCUCUUAAGCAUGUGAAAGCUAACAAUAAUUGUUGAUUUUUUUUAUAACAUCUCUUUAAUUGAUAUGACUUUGCUAUUUUUUUUUCUCUCUUUCUUCCCUGACUUCUUAUCCAUCAUCUUUUUACCCUUUUUGAUCAUGAAUUAUUACUUUUUUGAGAGUUGAAUUCUGAAAAAAUAAGUUUGGCCAUAAUUUCUUUUCUUUUUUAAAUUCACUUUGAAGCUGAAAUUUAAAAUUUGAGAAUUAAAAAAAAUUGUUUACCUUUUCACUUCAAUUUGCUUAUAAAAUUUCAAAAAACAAUUUCUAUUUGUGUUCAUGAUAAAAUUUAACGUCAUUAAAUUAUCUCUAUGAUAAUCAACUCUAGAAAAAUAUUAUAUCAUAUUAACAAUCCAAUUAAAAGCAAGAUAUAUAGAUUCGACAAGUUGAAUUAUGAAAUAGACUAUAAAAAGACACAAAUCAAUAAAAAAAACAUGUAAUUACUCAUAUGUUAAUACACAUUAAAAGCCAAUAUUUGAAUCUUUGACAAAGAAAUGUUCAGGAGUACAAAUGAAUCAGGAUAGACAUAAAACGCCCAAUAGAUUUUAAUGCAAAUGUGCUACUAUUCAGAAGAGUUUUACAAGUCAUUUUCUUAUAUUUAAAUAGCUUUAGCAAACUAUCAACCACUUUUCACAUCAUCUGUUGAUCCUCCUUCUAUCAAUUCGCUAUGGGAAAAUAGAUAAAUAGGUUUCUUGGUCUUAGAGAACGCCUCAUCAACAUGUCUAAUAUCAAUUCGUUAUGACCUUAAUUUUCAAAGAUGAAAUACUCUGAAAACUCUGAGAAAAUAUUAUCGUCUGAUCCACUCUACUAACCUCUUAUUUAUACGAAAUAUCAGAAGAACAAACGAUGAACCAUGUAUUAGACACCUUACCAUUUUAGAGGCAGCUUGAUUCCCAACUCUACCAUCAAACUUUCUCUGACUGAAUCACCAAACAAAAAGAAAAUUACAAUUUGGAAUAGAGAUCAUACACAAGAUCCAUACAAUACUAAGAUUCAAUACACUAACUUCAGGGAACAGGGAAUAGAGAAACUAUUUCUAUUUGGCUCUCGACCUUUCAGCUAAAAGUACAACAAUCUAUUAAAAAGAAAGGAAAAAGAAGAGUAUGUCAGACUAACAAUUUAAUUAAAAGCAAAAUAGAGUAAGCAAGCUACAACAUGUAAAAAAAACAUUUCCAAUCUAUAUAUAUAAUACAAAAAUGUAGACUAUGAAAAGACCUAUAAUUAAUUAAAAUAUAAUUACUCAGAGAUUAAUACAUAGUAAAAGCUAUUGUAAUUAACAAUUGAAAAUAAAGAAACGAAACGGUUGAUGAAAAAAAAACUGAAAGGAAGAAUUAUGAUUUGAAUAGAACAUAUAAUCAUUAAUUUCACAUUUUAAAAAAAAUUAAAAUCUCAUAAUUAGUACUAAUGUUUAGUCAAUCAGUUAUUUUGGAAUAAUUCUAGUUAACAAUUUUGCAGUAACUUAAUCAAAUUAAAUUAAGCAAAAUUUAUGUUCCUUUUAAGUUAUUGACGUUCCAUUUUUAAGUUAAUGUUAGAUUAAUUCUAAAUACAUAAUGAAAUUAACAUUCCCUUUUUAAAGUUAUUGACAUUCCUUUUUAAGUUUAAUGUUAGUUUUAUUAUAAAUAUAUAAUCAAAUUAACAUUCAUUUUUUUGGUUAAUUUUUUUAUAACUAUAUAAUCAAAUUAAUGUUCCUUUUGUAGUUACUACAAUUUUAUUGUCAUUACACUACACGAUUUAUUUUGGAAGGAAGGGUUAACUGUUACAAAUGCUCGUAAUGAAGGAAGAGAAUAAUGUUUUUAACAAAUUUUUGAAUAGAAAAUGAAAGGAAAAAUUGAAAAUUCCGUGAAAAUAAAUAAAUAAUAAUAUUGAUCAAUUAGGCAUGCCACAUCAGCGAGCUGAUAUUCAGCUUUAUAUAUAUAUAUAUAUAUAUAGAUAGAUAUUCAUAUCAAUUAUUGUUUUUAAGGGAGUACAGAAGUUGAUCGACAUUCCACCGUUAAAAGAGUAAUUAAAUCUAGGAACAAUAACACUUUUCAUCCCUUAAUUAUUGAUAAUUAGAUUAAAUAUAUUUUAUCUUUCAAUUAAUUAAUAUAUAUAUUUUUUAUUCCGUUAUUUGGAAAUAUGUAAUUGAUACUCAGAGCAUUUAUUUAACUGGAUUGCAUUUAGGGGUGUUCACGGUUCGGUUUGGAUCGGUUAUUGGUGAAAAUCAAAACAAAAAAAAUUUAGUUGUCACCAUCGCUCGCUUGGCUUCGACUUCGGCAACGACAAAUGAUUUGAUUGAUUGAUUAUUUUUUAGGCAGAAUUUAUUUAAUCAAGCUCAUUAAUUAAUUUUCUUUUUCUUAAAAAUUAAUUUAGAAUGUUAAUUAAUCAAUUAACAGAAUUAUAUUAAUUUCGCGUAACAGUAAAGUCGCUCAGAAGGGACUUGUUCCUUCCGAACAUACACUUCUUUUCCCAAAAGACAAACGUUCUAGAAAGACAUGUCUGAACAGAUGAGUUCACACUCUUGUCCGAACAGAUGCGUCACUUGCUGCAGUUGGCUAUAAAUAGAGAGACUUCUCUCAUUUUUCAAACACUGAAAUUUUUCUCUCUUCUGCAUACAUUUUCUUACAUACAAAAUUGUCGAUCGAUUGAGUCUGUGUGUAUGCCCUCUCGUUGCUGUUUUUUGAGUUCGCUGAAAUUAUUGAAGUUUGAGCUACCGCUACUUCUUUAAUAGUUAAUCCGUUUUAUCUUUGGAGGAAUUAAUCUACAACCUCGGGUACUUGAGGGGAUUAAAUUUUUUAAGGAUACAUAAUGGGUUCUGUGGACUCGAAUUAUUUAUUUUCUGUCUAUCAUCUUUUCUGUUUCUGUUUUUACUAACCUGAAUACGGGAGAUAACAAAUAUUUAAAUAAAGGAUUAAAAGUACAUAUAUUUCUAAAUUCUAAUAGUCUAUUACUUUGUCCUUUUCUAUGGAGUUCAACAAUCACAAAUUACUUAUCCAAUUGAUCCAUUACUUUGUCAUUUUCUGCUAAUUUAGAUAAAUUUAACAUCAAAUAUAAUACAUUGUAUUAUAUUAUAUUGUGUUGUACCUUAAGGUUAUGUGAAUAUAGUGUUUGGAUAGACCGGGUUGUUCACUUUAGUUUAACAACACAUGUCCUACGAUAACACUCAUUCAACAACUUUGGCACUAGAGUAAUAAAAUAGACGUCGGUUGACAUUCCAACUUUCCUUUUUCGAUCAAAGCCUAUUUGGAAGAGAAUCCAAUAUUUUUUGCUAAUGAAUAUCUAAACUGAUUGAUUGUUGUUUCAAGACUUCAUGUUUAGACAAUUCAUAUCGUCCAUACAUAGUGUUUUGAUUUAAGAUUUCAGUAGAAAGAAUGUAUAUAUGAGAAUCCUUGAUGAAUUUGUGGUUAAAGUACUUAUAUUUUAGAGUAACUUUCACAUAUAGCAAAUAUAAAAAUCAUAUUUGUAUGCUAUAACUAUAAUUUGUAUAAUUGCGCUCCAUGGCAAACUUUAUGUUUGCUAUGGAGCAUCAGAUUGUAUAACUCGCUGGCUCCUCUUCAGAUUUGUAUAAUUUCGCUGGCAGACCAUUUGUAUAUAUCGUUGUUUUGUAUAAAUUGUUGGCAGCCUCUCAAUUCAAUUUUAUGUGUUUGUAUAUCUGCAUAAAAUUUGAAUUUGCAUACAAUUGAAUCGAAAUAAAACGUUUGUAUUUCAAAUCUCUCUCUCUCUUGCUUUAUACAAACAUAAAUUAUAAAUUGUAUUUUGUAUAAUCUGUUUUUGUAUAAAGCGAGAAAGAGAGAAAGACAAAAGAGAACUGGGCAGGGGAAUAUUUGUAUUGUAUAAUUAUAAGUGUAUAGGACGAAGAUAUAUGUAUUUGCAUGUGUAUAUACGAUUUUCUCUCGCUUUAUACAAACAUCAACACAAUUUAUAUAUUUGUGUUUGUAUAAAGUGAGAGAGGCGAGGGAGAGAGUGACGAGCAAGAGAGGGAGAGUGGCGAGCGAGAAUUUCAGGGAGAGAGGCAAAUGGCAACAAUUUGCUACGGGAUAUAAUUAAAUCAAAUUGUGGUUAUAGUAUUUAAUUUGAAUUAAUAGUUUGCCAUUAUAUACAAUUUUCCCUAUAUUUUUUAUGAUGUUUUAUUAAGUUAUUUCAAAAUUUCAGCACAUUUUUGUAGUAGUUCUUUCCUAUGUUGUUCAAGUUCUUCAAAAGUAUUGUCAGGUGCGUGACAAAUCCUCCAAAAGUGUCACAAUAUACAGGUGUCACAAUAUUUUUGAAGAGUCAGAGCAACAUAGUCAUGUAUUUUAUCACUAGACUCUAAUGCUCAUCUCUGUUCAAUCAGAUUUCCAAAUGACUUUGACAUUUCAAAAUCUGGAUCAAUCAUAGACAGAUGGAGUUCAUGGGAGGUCUUCAACAUUUUUCCAAACACAAAGAAAAUGGACAAGGCAAAGUAACAAUCAAUUUCUUUGUUAUUCAUGUAUAUAUUUGUGUAUGUUUUCUCAAUAAAGCCCACCCUUUAUUUACGAUUUAUGCUUAAAUCCCCAACGAACCUUAAGAGUUUUUUUUUUUUUUUUAUGGACUGGCUUCAAGCAACAUUGAUUCCAGGUUUCUCAAUAUACUGAUCAAAACUGUAACUUGCCAUUUUGGGAACUUCCAUAAGCACUUAAAUUGACAAAAGUUGAAUCUUAUUCUUAGUGAUUCACAAUUAAAAUGAUUUUGUAUUGAAAUAAACUUGUCAAAUAGAAGAUAAAAGAACAGAACAAUAUAUACUUUCUAAUAUAUUUUCAUAAACUUGUCUACAAAAACAGAAAAGGAAAAAAGAUAUAAAACUUUAAUCCCUAUGCUCUUUCUUAUAAUCAACAUGUUGAAUCUUGAGAGAUAACAGCACAAGCUUUUGAAGAAUCAACAGUCAAUACUCCUGUUUGAGUACUGUCUUGUAAAUUCUCAACGCGUAAACCUCCACAAGACACCUCAACUUCGCGACAACUUAUGUGAGAAGGUGAUUUACGAUCACUUACUUGAAUUUUCCCACUUAGACUAACAGAAAAUCUUGUAGUCUGACCAGACGCAAAGUCACCAGCAAUAGAUGUACCAAUCCAAUAUUCAUAUGCCUCAGGUAAAGCUGCAAACGUUGAAUCGAUUAAGCUUUGAUCUUUUGCAUCUUGAUGGAAUUUAUCAAACACAUUGUUACUCCAAAGAAGGGUGUCGGUAUAGGAUAUGUUAACCUUGAAAUCGUUGUAAUAGAAAUCAUAAUUGUUGUUAGGAUUUUGAACUGAGAAAGUGAGGUUCCAAUUGUCUGGAUUGUACAUUAUCAAAGGAUGAACAUAACGAGUCAAUACAGAAAAGGAAGUUGAUGACACUGCUUCAAUUUUGAAUUUGGGAUUGCGAAGUACCAUAGUAGUAUCUUCAUGAUCAACAUAGAAUACGCGAAAAGCUAGAGUGGCACCAAGAGCUAUGGCUAAUACAAGCAGUAAGAUUUGUAAAAUCAGAUUGUACUUUGACUUUUUUGUAGAAUCAAUUGUUGUUGCAUCCUUGUUAUUUGAUUUCUCCUCCAUUUGAUUAAUUCGAAAAAGAAAAAAUUUGACAAAAUUUUGAUGAAAUAAAAGGUGUAUAAAGUAUUGAGAAAGUUUACUAAUGUAGAAUGUAAUAUUUCUUAGCUUAAAGUGUGAUUGUUAUAUAGAAUAGUAAAAGUCACUAUUCUAAAAGGAUUAGGAAAAAUUGUUUCCAUUAUGUAUUUGGAUUUGGAAUUAUUUUUGAAAUUUAGGUGUUAGAUUAAUUUUAUUUUAAGAAAUAAAGUGUUUGCUUCACGAAAAAGAAACGUUUUUUCCUAAUUGUAUUCUAUUUAGAUUUGAUAUUUUUGGAAACUUUUUCCAAAAUCCAAAUCAUUAUUUGUCUUUUUUUUUUCUUUCCUUUUCUGUUUAUUCUAUUAUUCCAAAAAUAGUUUUUCCAUGUUACUUGUUACUUUUAAUAUAUUAAAUAAUAAUAAUAAUAAUAAUUAUUUCAUAUUUUAUCUUUAACAUUAAUUACUUAUUUCAAAUUAUUUUUUAAAAUAUAAUACUAAACAUCAGUCAAUAUAAGUAUUAUAAUAAAACAUUCAUAUCAAUUACUAUUGUUUUUAAUAGAGUACACAAGUUGAUCCACAUUCCACCGUUAAAAAAGUAAUUAAAUGUAACACCUCAAAAAUCUGAACUAAGAUUGAACAAGAGAGAGGGGAAAACCACGGAGGGGUCCACGAGCCGUGAGAGGACCAUGACCCGUUACCCUGCUCGUGGUUGUGCACCCAACAAAAGGUGAAAGACCACGGACCACUAGACGGUUCGUAGAGCUCCACACGGGCCGUGUAAUGGUAUGUGAAAGGGACACAGAACCACCAUGGCUACUGCGAAGGACCACAUACCACUAGACGGUCCGUGGAGCUUCGCACGAGCCAUGAAGUGGAUUGUGAAAGAGGCUUGACAGACUUUGAGGUUUGGGUCAACUUCAAACAAUCAUAUCUUUCAACACAAAAAUGACUUAGGUGGCCCAUAACCUAUCAAAUUAAAGGUCUCUGAAUCCUCUUUCUAACGCCUCUGAGUUUGCCUAAUUACUAGCUCGAAGUAAAACGUUUGCCCGAAGUAGUGAAGCCCUGUCAAGCAGACCAUCUUCACGACCCACUUGACGGGCCGUGGUGCUCUAGACGACUCGUGAAGCCUGUUUUGAAGUCACUUUGGCAGUUUUUAAGUUAGGGUCGCAUUGGUCUUUUCCCUUAUGCGUUUGGUACUUAGACUACGUUGUUUGGUUCUUAAACUACGUUGUUUUACUCAAUAUAAGCCUAAUAAUCUAGUCAGAAACUACCUAGAACCCUCAUUCCCCUAAAAUCAUCUAACUUAGAAAGAAAAGAAGAGAAAGAUGCGAUAUUUACGUUUCUCCCAAGAACAAGCAGAGGUUUUCUUCAAGUUCAACCUCGAAAUCAAAAGGAUUUCUCUGUGUUUUUGUCACCAAGUAUGUGAAAUUUCACUAGUGGGUUCCUUUCACCCAUUAGGUCCCUAGAAUUCAGCAUGUUCUUCAAUUUCUCAUAACUAGUUCAGGCCUACUGGUUUCCAAAACCUUAGGAUUCAUUGUGAUUUUAGCUGCUAUAGUUUCCACGAUCUAAAUAACAUGUUUCUUAGAAAAUUUACAUAGUUUCAUGUUUAGAAUUCAGAACCCUAGCAAGUACUCAUUAAUUAUACUUGCUAGUCAAAUCAGUCAGAAAAUUAUGCUUCAGAACUUAAAUGUCAUAUCUUUCCGUGUAUUUUUGUUGCAUUUUCAGAUAUCAUGUCAGUAUUUUGAGCUACUCAGUAUUUCAGUUGCAUUUUAGCUAUAUACAUAUUCAGUUGGGAGUAGACUUAUACUAAGUUGGACUAGGGUUCAACGUACACUCACAGUCCUAGAACUGCAUGCCCUCCCCUCUGUUGGGCAUUUGUUUUAGUGAUCACGCCACAUCCAUGCCUUUAUACCCAUAACAAGGUAUAUUGGGUCCUCUCGAUGAAGCGUAUACAUCGGACUUUACGUUUAGCUCACAUGGUUUAUGUCAGUUAAUAGUAGCUCCCACAGUCAUACCCUUAUUGCAUUGACCAUGUUAUCAGCAUUUACUUCAGUAUUCAGUUCAACAUGUUAUCUUUAUGAUUAGUACUUGGUCAUUAGAUCUACCUCAGUUUUCAGUUAUACUUCAGUAUAACCUAUUUCCAUGCUUAGUCUAUAUUGCCAGUAUUAUAUUGUUCUAUUUAUAUUGUUCAACUUAGUAUCUAUAUUCUGCAUGCUCAGUGCAUUCAAAGUACUGACACAUACUUUUGUGUUACAUCGUUGUAUGAUGUAGGUUUAGGUGCUCAACAUCCAUAUCACGCUCAGUUCGACUAUCAGCCCAUACUCAGCAACUUCAGUGAUGAGUCCUCAUAGUUCGAGGAUUUUCCUUUAUGCUUUGGUUUAGUUAGCUUACUAUCAGUCUUUCAGUAUUUUUAGAGUUAGCUGGGGACUUGUCCCAGCAGCUCAUCAAUAUUAGAGGUUUUAUGAUAUAGAAUCAGUGUUCAGUGUUUUGGGGUUGUUUCCUAUGGAUAUUCAGAUAUAUUUUCACUUGGAGUCAUUUUUGGUUUGACUCAUUUAUUAGUUAUGCUUCCGCUUAUCUUUGUUAUAUAUUUAGUAUGCUUAUGAUAUUCCAUACUCAGGGUUAGCUUGAGGUCACUUGUGAUCCUAGGUCCUAUGUUACGUCUAGGGGGUACCCUCGGGGCGUGACAUUAAAUUUAGGGAGUUCCGUUAUUUGGAAAUAUGUAAUUGAUACUUAGAGCGUUUCUGUGACUGUAUUGCAUUUACGGGUGUUCAAAGUUCAGUUUGGAUCGGUUAUUGGUUAAAAACAAAACAAAACAAAUUUAGUCGAUUUUUAAAUUUCUAAAAUCAAACUAAACCAAACGAAAAAAUAACCAUCGGUUUGGUUAGUGUCGGUUUGGUUCAUUUUUUUUGGUUUAAAAGUAAUAAAUUUGUUGAGGGCAUAAGCAUCUCAAUAAACAUAGACACCUAAUACAUGAAAAAUCCAUCGGAAAGCUACUGUGGAUUCUAUUAAACAAUACUAGUCAUUAUUACACGAACAAAGUGAUUCAAUUUAGAGAAAGUGUGAUUAUCUGAUGUGAGAUAGGAUAGAUAAAGACUAAAGUAAUGGAUUUUGAUGGACUUGCUCUUAGAUUUUAAUAGUUGGGCUAAAAUUUAAUUGUUGGGCAUAAAAAAUAAUAAACUUAAAGACUUAAGUUAAUUAAAAUUUAACAAAAUAUUUAUAUUUUACUUAUGAAUAAUAUAUAAAUAAUUAUAAAUUUAUAUAUAUAUAUAAUUUCUUAGUUCGGUUUGGUUAUUUUUGUGAUUUUUUUUAGUAAAACCAAAAUCAAACCAAAUAGUAUUGGUUUUUAAAAUUUAAAAUCAAAUUGAACCAAACCACACCAAAUAUUAAUUUUUAAAUCGAUUUAAUUCAAAUUAUGAUUUAAUUUAAUUUUUUAACCAUAAUUAUGAACAACUCUAAUUAUAUUGAUAUGAAGUAACAUUACAAACUUGACUAGGUAAGAUAAUUAAAUGAUCAGAGAUGAAAAUUGUGAAUAUUUAUAUAAAGGAUUAAAAGUGCAUAUAUUUCUAAAUUCUCAUAGUCCACUACUUUGUCCUUUACUACGGAGUUCGACAAUCGCAAAUUACUAAUCCAAGUGAUCCAUUACUUUGUCCUUUUCUGCUAAUUUAGAUAAAUUUAACAUCAAACAUAAUACAUUGUAUUGUAUUAUACUGAGUUAUACCUUGUGAUUGUAUUGUAUUAUACUGAGUUAUACCUUGUGAUUUUUUCUGCUAAUUUAGAUAAAUUUAACAUCAAACAUAAUACAUUGUAUUGUAUUAUACUGAGUUAUACCUUAUGAUUGUGUGAAUAUAGUGUUUGAAUAGACUGGAUUGUUUAUUUUAGUUUAACACCACCUUUCCUACAAUAAUACUCAUUCAACGACUUUGGCACUAGAGUAAAUUCAAAAAAUAGACGUCGGUUGACAUUCCAACAUUCCUUUUUUAAUCAGAGCCUAUCUGAAAGAGAAUCUAAUACAUUUUGCUCGUGAAUAUCUGAACUGAUUGAUUGUUGUUUCAAGAAUUCAUGUUUAGACAGUUCAUAUCGUCCAUACAUAGUGUUUUGAUCUAAGCUUUCAAUUCUUCAGUAUAUUAGAGGGUGAAAGAUGCUAUGAAUCUGAAGUGGGCUCUUGGCUUAGGUUCACACUUUCUUUUGUCUUUCCUCGAAAAGUCGAAUGUAUAUAUGAGAAUCCUUGAUGAAUUUGUGGCUAAAGUACUUAUAUCUCGUGAUAUUUCUUUGUUAUUCAUGUAUAUAUUUGUGUGUGUUUUCUCAAUAAAGCCCAUACUUUAUUUAUAAUUGUGCUUAAAGCCCCAAUGAACCUUAGAGUUUUUUUUGUUGCAGUUUUCACAUUAGAUAACACUGGCUUCGAGCAACAUUGAUUCCAAAAUGUAACUUGCCAUUUUGGAAAUUCCACAAGCACUUAAAUUGACAAAAGUUGAAUCUUAAUCAAUGAAAUAGUCGAAAUAUAUGCACAAGUUGAAUCGUAUUCUUAGUGAUUCACAAUUAAAUUGAUUUGUAGUAACUAACUAAAAUAGUGGUUGAUUUUGUAUUGAAAUUCCAGUGAAGCCACUUAAUGAGCAAAUGCAAAUUAAACUUGUCAAAUAGAAGAUAAAGAACAGAACAAUAUAUACUUUCUAAUAUAUUUUGAUAAACUAGUCUACAAAAACAGAAAAGAAAAAAAGACAAAAAACUUUAAUCCCUAUGCUCUUUCUUAUAAUCAACAUGUUGAAUCUUGAGAGAUAACAACACAAGCUUUUGAAGAAUCCACAACUAAUACUCCACUUUGAGUACUGUCUUGUAAAUUCUCAACGCGUAAACCUCCACAAGACACCUCAACUUCACGACAACUUAUGUGAGAAGCUGAUUUACGAUCACUGAUUUGAAUUUUUCCACUUAGACUAACAGAAAAUCUUGUAGUCUGACCAGACACAAAGUCACCAGCAAUAGGUGUACCAAUCCAAUAUUCAUAUGCCUCAGGUAAAGCUGCAAACGUUGAAUCGAUUAAGCUUUGAUCUUUUGCAUCUUGAUGGAAUUUAUCAAACACAUUGCCACUCCAAAGAAGGGUGUCAGUAUAGGAUAUGUUAACCUUGAAAGCAUUGUAAUAGAAAUCAUAAUUGUUGUUAGGAUUUUGAACUGAAAAAGUGAGGUUCCAAUUGUCUGGAUUGUACAUUAUCAAAGGAUGAACAUAACGAGUCAAUACAGAAAAGGAAGUUGAUGACACUGCUUCAAUUUUGAAUUUGGGAUUGCGAAGUACCAUAGUAGUAUCUUCAUGAUCAACAUAGAACACGCGAAAAGCUAGAGUGGCACCAAGAGCUAUGGCUAAUACAAGCAGUAAGAUUUGUAAAACCAGAUUGUACUUUGACUUUUUUGUAGAAUCAAUUGUUGUUGCAUCCUUGUUAUUUGAUUUCUCCUCCAUUUGAUUAAUACCAAAAAGAAAAAAAUUAGAUGAAAUAGAAGGUGUAUAAAGUAAUGAGAAAGCUUACUAAUGUAGAAUGUAAUUUCUUGGCCCAACGUGUGAUUGUUAUAUAGAAAAGCAAAAGUCAUUAUUCUAAAGGAUUAGGAGAAAUUGUUUCCAUUAUGAAAUGUUUGCUAUCAUGGAGAAGAUAGCUUCUGGAAUUUUCUCAGUUACAGAGAAAGGAAUUUAGAAAUAUUAAAUUUCAAAGUAAAACUUUAUUGAUCAAUAACUGAACAAGAUCAGUACAUAUAUAUACAGGAAAGGAAAGAAUCUUUUGUAACUACUUUAACUAACUAUUUUAUGACUAAUCCUCUAACUUCUAUUAUUUACAUAAUGACCCUCAGCUUACUAUGUAAUACCAUCUUUAAUACUCCCCCUCAAGUUGGUAGGACUGAACAUAUUCAAUACUCCAAACUUGGACAACAAAUACUCAUGUUGAAACUUGCCCAGACCCUUAGUUAGUAUGUCCGCCUCUUGCUCUUUGGUAUGCAUAUACUCAGUUUUAAUUAGGCCAUUCUGAAUUUUCUCCCUUAUGAAAUGACAGUCCAAUUCUAUGUGCUUUGUUCUUUCAUGUAGUACUGGGUUAGCAGCAAUUUGUAUGGCAGACUUGCUAUCACUAUAGAUGGUAGUUGGGGUUACGACAUCAACUCCUAGUUCCUUAAACAAUUUUGCUAUCCACACUACUUCAGCUACAACACUUGCCAUGCUCCUGUACUCAGCUUCAGCUGAACUUCUAGAUAUAGUUCCUUGUUUCUUGGAUUUCCAUGAUAUUAGUGAAUCUCCCAGCUUAACCAUGAAUCCAGUGACAGACCUUCUGGUGUGUAAACAAGCCCCCCAAUCUGAAUCACAGUAGACCUUUAACUGUUUGUUAUUCUUGCUGGAUAAUAGUACACCUAGCCCUGCUUGUCCCUUUACAUAUUUCACUACCUUGAGAGCAGCAUUGAGGUGUCUAAUCCUCUAACUUCUAUUAUUUACAUAAUGACUCUCAGCUUACUAUGUAAUACCAUCUUUAAUACUCCCCCUCAAGUUGGUAGGAGUGAACAAAUUCAAUACUCCAAACUUGGACAACAAAUACUCAUGUUGAAACUUGCCCAGACCCUUAGUUAGUAUGUCCGCCUCUUGCUCUUUGGUAUGCAUAUACUCAGUUUUAAUUAGGCCAUUCUGAAUUUUCUCCCUUAUGAAAUGACAGUCCAAUUCUAUGUGCUUUGUUCUUUCAUGUAGUACUGGGUUAGCAGCGAUUUGUAUGGCAGACUUGCUAUCACUAUAGAUGGUAGUUGGGGUUACGACAUCAACUCCUAGUUCCUUAAACAAUUUUGCUAUCCACACUACUUCAGCUACAACACUUGCCAUGCUCCUGUACUCAGCUUCAGCUGAACUUCUAGAUAUAGUUCCUUGUUUCUUGGAUUUCCAUGAUAUUAGAGAGUCUCCCAGUUUAACCACGAAUCCUGUAACAGACCUUCUGGUGUGUAAGCAAGCUCCCCAAUCUGAAUCACAAUAGACCUUUGUAAGCUAUCAUGGAGAAGAUAGCUUCUGAGUUUACAGAGAAAGGAAUUCAGAAGUAUUAAAUUUCAAAGUGAACUUUUUAUUAAUUCAUAACUGAACAAGAUCAGUACCUUUAUAUACAGGAAAGGAAAGAAUCUUUUGUAACUACUUUAACUAACUAUUUUCUAUCUAAUCCUCUAACUUCUAUUAUUUACAUAAUGACUCUCAGCUUACUAUGUAAUACCAUCUUUAAUACUCCCCCUCAAGUUGGUAGGAAUGAACAUGUUCAAUACUCCAAACUUGGACAACAAAUACUCAUGUUGAAACUUGCCCAGUCCCUUAGUUAGUAUGUCAGCCUCUUGCUCUUUGGUAUGCAAAUACUCAGUUUUAAUUAGGCCAUUCUGAAUUUUCUCCCUUAUGAAAUGACAGUCCAAUUCUAUGUGCUUUGUUCUUUCAUGUAGUACUGGGUUAGCAGCAAUUUGUAUGGCAGACUUGCUAUCACUAUAGAUGGUCGCUGGGGUUACAACAUCAACUCCUAGUUCCUUUAACAGUUUUGCUAUCCACACUACUUCAGCUACAGCACUUGCCAUGCUCCUGUACUCAGCUUCAGCUGAACUUCUAGAUAUAGUUCCUUGUUUCUUGGAUUUCCAUGAUAUUAGUGAAUCUCCCAGCUUAACCAUGAAUCCAGUGACAGACCUUCUGGUGUGUAAACAAGCCCCCCAAUCUGAAUCACAGUAGACCUUUAACUGUUUGUUAUUCUUGCUGGAUAAUAGUACACCUAGCCCUGCUUGUCCCUUUACAUAUUUCACUACCUUGAGAGCAGCAUUGAGGUGUGAUUGUUUGGGUUGAUGUAGGAACUGGCUCAGAGUUUGUGUAGCAAAAACAAUGUCUGGCCUGGUAACAUUUAGAUACAACAAUUUUCCAACUAGUCUUCUGUAUACUGUUGGAUCCUCCAGCAAUCUAUCUUCCUUUCCUGUCCCAUUUAUUUCAUCAUACUCCUUGGUAGUUAACUGUACAUAAGGAUCAAUAGGAGUGGAGGCUGGUUUAGCAGCUCCAAGUCCAGCUUUAGAGAUGAUUUCAAGAGAGUAUUUCCUUUGAUGCAUGACAAUCCCUUCUUGUGAUCUAGCGAAUUCAAUUCCUAGGAAAUACCUGAGUUCUCCUAGGUCUUUCAUCUUGAAAGUGUUUUGUAGAAUUCUUUUGGUUUGUUGAAUAAUACUAAGGUCAUUACCUGUAAUCAUCAUAUCAUCAACAUAUACUAGAAGUAUCACCAGAGAUGUUUUUGUUUUCUUAAUGAACAGUGAAUAGUCUGCAUGACUCUGAAUAAAUCCCAGUCUGAUAAGUGCAUCUGUAAGCUUCACAUUCCAUUGUCUAGGGGCUUGUUUCAAGCCAUAGAGAGAUUUAAUGAGCCUACACACUGGUUUUUCCCUCUGCACAAUAAAUCCCUUAGGAAGCUGAAAGCCUUGAGGAAGAGUCAUAUAUACUUCAUCAAAUAAGUCCCCUUGAAGGAAAUCAUUUGACACAUCUAUCUGAUGAAUAUGCCAAUGUUCAAUAGCAGCCAAAGCCAACACACUUUUGACUGUAACCAUUUUGACAACAAGCGAAAAAGUUUCCUUAUAAUCCAGUCCUUCUCUUUGGUUAAAUCCCUUAGCAACCAACCUGGCUUUGAAUCUUUCAACCUCUACUGAAGCUUGAUACUUAAUUUUAAAAAUCCAUUUACAACCAAUAGCCUUUUUGUAAGGAGGUAAGGGUACCACUUUCCAAGUCUGAUGAGUUUCCAAGGCCAAUAUUUCAGCUUGCAUGGCCUCAACCCACCUAGGAUCUUUACAGGCCUCCACUAAGGUGACAGGUUCAACCUCAUGACCAAAAGAAGAAAGAAAGGCCCGAUAGGACUGAGACAGAUGAUCAUAGCCAAGAUAUUUGCCAAUAGAAUAUAGAGGUUUGAUAGAGAUGAGAAGAGCAGAAACAACAUGAUCUUGCAUCCAUAAGGGAGCUUUGGGACUCCUCUGUGAUCUCCUAACCUUAGAGACCCUUGAGACAGAAUCAGGUAACACUGUAGGCAAAUCAGGAUUAUCAACAGAAUCAACUAUAGCAGAUGAAGGUACAUCAUGUGAUGGAGUAGGAUCUGAUGAAAUAUUGAUAGAAGGAAACAAGUGCCAGUCAGUGGAAGAGGGAACAUCAAAGGGAAAUGUGGAUUCCCUAAACUCCACAUCUCUGCUAAGGAAGAAUUGUUUGCCCUUGAGAUUGUAGAGAAGAUAACCUUUAGUAGUAGGACUGUACCCCAUGUGAAUGGCAACAACACUUCUUGGUUGAAAUUUAUCAUGUAUGUACAUAUUUUUUGCAAAGCACAAACAACCUAAAACUCUCAAAUGCUAGAGAGAAGGUUUGGUAUUGUGAAAUACUUCAUGAGGGUAUUUGCCAUGUAACACAGGAGUUGGCAACAAAUUGAUGAUAUAAGCAGCUGUGAGUAUGCAAUUACCCCAAAACCUGAUAGGAAUAUGUCCUUGGAAUCUGAUUGCUCUGGCCACUUCAAGGAUAUCUUUAUGUUUUCUAUCUGCUAUACCAUUUUGUUGGGGUGUAUGAAUGCAUGUUCUCUGAUGAAUGAUGCCUAAGCUAGUAAAUAGUUUGUGACACUCAACAUUUACAAACUCAAAACCAUUGUCAGUCCAGACUGUUUUAACUACAACAGUGAACUGAGUUUUGGCAAAAAUGAAGAAGUUUUUCAAGACAACACAAACAUCACUCUUCAUUUUUAUUAGAAACAACCAUAAUAGUCUGGUACAAUCAUCAACUAUAGUAACAAAAAAUCUAUUACCAUCAUAGGUAGGGGUGUUAAAGGGACCCCAAACAUCAAAAGGCAGUAACUGAAAAGAAGAAGUAGAGACAGUAGUACUAUUGGGAAAAGGUAAUCUAUGUUGUUUUGCCAAAGGACAAAUGGUGCAAUUGUGAAGAUCUUUAGAACAUUUACUAGGUGAAAGAGCUAGCAGAUGAGCCAGAACAGUGGAAGAAGUGUGUCCUAGCCUUUGAUGCCACAAUAGAGCUUGUGAUUCUGUGGAAUGAACAUUACCAUGAGCUAAGUGUGAUGAGCAGUGAACUAUUUUGUUGAUAGGAGAUUAGUUAUUGGGCAGAAGAUAGAGACUAGCAUGCUCUCUACCAAUCACCCUCACCUGCCCAUUGGAGAGGUCCUGAAGAGCAACAAAGUUAGGAAAGAAGCAUACUGCACAUUUAAGAUCCUUAGUAAUUUGUGAGACUGAUAGUAAGUUGAAUUUGAAAUCCGGAACAAGAAGAACGUUUCUUAGCAUGUCCUGAGGAGUUACAUUACAUGAACCUAUAUGUGUGAUUUGAGUUGUUUCACCAUUGGGCAAUUGAACAUUUCUAGGUUUAUCACUAGGAAGUUGAUGUUUAUGAGUAAGAAUAUCUUAGUCUGGGAUCAUAUGAUUGGUUGUAUCGGAAUCGAUGAUCCAACCAGUAUGGACUGGACUUACAGUGAGAGCGGUUUCAUUACCUGCUGAAGCACCUGCUGAGGAGUAAUCAUCCUGAGCUAUGUUGGCACUGAAAUGUGAGGUGGAUGUUGCUGCUUUAGAGCCUCCCUGCAUAUUAGACUGACCAAGCAUUUGUAGGAUCUAAUUAUAUUGUUCAUGUAACACAGUCAUACCUUUGUGAUAGUCAACUUGUUCAGUGUUUUUAGAACCUCUUCCAUAUCCUUGAUUCCUUGGAUUCACACCUCUGUAACAUCUAACUCACCAUCACUGACUGCAUUGUGAGCAGCAAAAUUUUGCCUCCUAUCAUUAUUAGACCUUCCUCUCCCCUGAUACUCAUUAUUAGGCCUUUCUCUCCCCUGAUAAGUAUUAUUAUGACUUUUCUUCCUCCUUUCAAAUCCCGGGGGAUAACCAUGAAGCUAAUAGCAAAUUGCUUGGGUGUGGCCUGUUCUUUUGCAGUAGUCACAGAAUGCAUUGGGAUCAUAGCUAGAACUAGUGUAAGGCCUUGGUCUAGGUACCACAACAGAAGUAUUGUUCCCAGUAGUGAACAUGGCACUCAACUCAGAACAAUUAGCACUACUGGAGGUUUGAGAAAUGGUUCUCUGACUCUCUCUCAAUUAAAAGUGAAUAGGUCUUGUUCAAGGAAGGUAGAGGUACCAUCAUUAGGAUUUGUCCCCUCGCUUGUCCAUAUGAGUCAUUCAGACCCAUGAGGAACUGAAGUAACUUCUGAUUAUGCACAAAUUUCACAAACUCUUUAGAAUUUACACAUUCACAACUUGGUACAUGAGUAAAGCUAUCAUAUUCUACCCACAGUUCACGCAAUCUAGAGAAAUAUGCUGAGAUUGAACUAGUACCUUGACUGACAGUAGCAGUCUCCUUGUGCAGUUGAAAGAUGCGAGAUCCAUCGACUUUAUCAUAUCGUUCAGCCAGAUCCUUCCAUACAGAUGCAACAUUUGUGGAGUAGACAAUACCUCCAAGUAAUUCUUUUGAAACACAGUUCAUGAUCCAUGACAAUACAAUUGUGUUGCAGCGUUCCCAUAAAUUCACCAGAUUUGGACCAUAUGCCUCCUUUUUGCAUGAGCCAUCGAUGAACCCCAACUUAUUACGACCUAGAAUUGCAAUCUUUAAUGCUCGACUCCAUACAGAAAAAUUAUCAGCUCCAGUCAAUUGAGUUGAACUGAGCAGUACACCAGAAUUGUCAAUGGUGUGUAGAAAAAGAGGAUGAUUGUGGCUUAACUUUUUCGGCAACUCAUUAUCGACAGUCGCCAUAGCUUCACCUGUUACUUGUGUAGUUGAAUCAGUGAUUUGAUCAACCAUUUACUGUGAAGAUUGAUCAAUGCUCUGAUACCAUGUUAGCUAUCAUGGAGAAGAUAGCUUCUGGAAUAUUCUCAGUUACAGAGAAAGGAAUUUAGAAGUAUUAAAUUUCAAAGUAAAACUUUAUUGAUCAAUAACUGAACAAGAUCAGUACAUAUAUAUAUACAGGAAAGGAAAGAAUCUUUUGUAACUUCUUUAACUAACUAUUUUCUGACUAAUCCUCUAACUUCUAUUAUUUACAUAAUGACCCUCAGUUUACUAUGUAAUACCAUCUUUAAUAUGAAAUCGGAUUAAUUUUAUUUUAAGGCAUAAAGUGUUUGUUUUACGAAAAAGAAAUGUUUUUCCUAAUUGUAUUCUACUUAGGUUUGAUAUUUUUGGAAUUUUUUUCCAAAAUCCAAAUCAUUAUUUGCCCUUUUUUUUUCUUUCCUUUUCUGUUUAUUCUAUUAUAUAUCCUUUUAGUUCACUUUUACUCGUAUAUUAUUCCAAAAAUAGUUUUUCCAUGUUACUUGUAUCUUUUAAUAUAUUAAGAAAUAAUAUAUUUUUUUAUAUUUUAUUUUUAACAUUAAUUACUUAUUUUUAAAUUAUUUUUUUAUAAGUUAAUACUAAAACAUUGUUAAUAUGAGUAUUACAUUAAAAUAUUCAUAUCAAUUAUUGUUUUUAAGGGAGUGAAAAAAUUCAAAGCAAAUAAAUAAAAGUGAAUGGAGGAAGUACUCCCUCGUUCCUUUUUAUAUGUCAUCUUUUUAGAUUUCACUUGCGUUAAGAACCUAAGUAAGUUUACAAUUCUACUUUUAUUAAAUAUUUUUUUUGAAGCCAACUUUUCAAUAAAUGAUAAAUAAAUCCAUCUUUUAUUUUUAAUUUGUUUAUUGAGAUUUCUUUUUCAAAAUAAGAUUUUAUAGAGUAAUGCAUAGAUGAGAGUAAUUAAUCAAUGAUUUAUAAAGUAAUUACAAUGAACAUUAAUUACUUAUUAGUUUUUCUAAGUUGGUCAAAUAUCUAUUUUCAAGAUUAAUUAACUAUCAACGGUAUAAUAGGAAGAAUAUUGUAAUUUAUACAUUGAUUUUAUGAAUGACAAGUAUUAUGAACCAACUAUUAAUAGUAAAAAUGACAUAUAAAAAAGAAGGAAUGGAAUAGUUUGUCAGGCAAUGACCGCCCAAAUAAACUUUUCGAUUGAUGGUAUAUGUUGAAAUAUAAGAGAAAUGCAUAAGUUCACUAUUGCAGCGAAAUGUGUUGCUACUGAAGGAAUAAUAAUUUGUGGCAAUUUAGUUAUUCUGUGUACCUGUCGGGCUUAUGGGGGUUCGUUCAGGUUUUACUUAACCUUGCGAAUGAGAGUACCUUCUAGUCUUUUGGGGGUUCAGUUAGGUUUAGUUUAUUUGUACUUAGUUUAUUUCUGGCAUGCUCGUGAGCUUUCUUUUCAUAUCCGCUUUGACCUCUCUAUGUCUAGAUUCUAUCAUUUCUUAUUGUUUUUACCUUUUUUCUUAGUCGGCAUUUGAUGUUGUCACGCUCCGAGCCUACACCCUGGACGUGGCCGGCACUCAAAAACCAUUGCUGGCCCCAAGCGAAUUCUUGGCCUCGCUCAACUCUCAGCGGAAGACUUACUCAUAAAUAAGAUGAACUCAAAAGCAAACUUUACUCAAUUUCUUUAAAAGAGAUAACUCAUAAUAUUUAAAAACAUUCACUGCCAAAAGAGGCAACUCAAUUCUCAGCAUUAAACAAAGGAAAUGAAAAGACUCAUGAACUACUACUAUCUAUUUAUGAAGCCUCUUCUAAUUUAGAUGGACAUCGGGACAAGACCAACGACGUCCCCAUAACAAAACUAAAAUGAUAAAACAUAAAAGAGUGAUCCUCCGGAAGCAAGGAGGCUCACCAAACAACUAUGGAACACGACUGGAUCAACGGAGUGCCGGUUGCUGAUCUUGAUUUCUUGUAUCUGUAUCAUAAAAGAUGCAAGGUCAAAUGACAUCAGUACAUGGAAUGUACGAGCAUGGAAAGGUAAAUCUAAACAUGGCAUAAGCUUGAACUGGAACUGAAGAAACAACUUACCUCAUCUCAACUCAACUCAACUUCAACUCAAGGAUACUCUCACUUACUCAACUCAGUUCAAUAUAAAGCAGUAGUAAAGAUGCAUUAUAAAGAAAAUCUUUUAAAGACAGUGGAUAACAACUCAAUGUAUUGAAAAAUACAAUAAUAUCUCAGUUUGUAUGUAAAAAUACAAAUAAACUUUGUUUGGGAGAUUAUCUAACUGAAAACCAUCACUAUGAGCUAUGUGAUGAUACAUCAUCUUGUCCACGCUGCCAGAACUUUCCUAUACCUUGUCGGGGUGUAGGACUCCUCAACUAAGUGAAUCCACUAAGCUAUGCUUAAAAAUCAAUAAGGAAUCAUCUAAAAAGUAUGACCUUUUCCACCCACGUUGGCUACAUGGUUUAUGGGGGUUGUGAAUUGUUUGAACUCUCCCCCAUAUCGGUGCUUAAUACUACUCCCAAAAUAUAACUUAGCUCAUAUGUUUCUAUUAAAAAACAUUUCCUCAUCCUCAACUUUGAGAUUAUUACUCAAAAGAUUUCUCUUAAAAGAGAUUGUACUCAAAACUCCUCAUGAACUCGUUUGGAAAUCAAUGUUUCCUUUCAUCUUAAAUGUAAAAACAUUUACUCUUCGUAAUAUUUAAUUCCCAUAUAUCACUUUUCUAAAAAUGAACUCAACUCAACUCUACUCAUUCUCAAACUCAAGUACUCAAAUCUUAAAACAAGUUUUAAAAGACUGUAAAAGACUCGAAAGAACUCUCAAGACUAAACUCUUAACUCUACCUUGAAUUUGAAUUAUGAAUGAUUUCUCGAUAUUUAGAUAUAGUUUAGAGUAGUUAGAAUCAAUAGGGAGUAAAGGUACACUUUGAAAGAACUCAGACGGGCAAACCGAUGGAAAAAGGUAGGGGCAGGCGACCCUGACACACUGAGUGGCGCAGGACGCCAGCCCCUGAACUACAAGAACUUAUUCCCGGCGCACUGGUGGGGCGGCGCGCCAGCCACUGCCCAGAAACUCCCGACGAAUUUUCUUGCUCAUUUUCUUACCCUAAUUCGCCUAGAAUCGAAUGGUUUCUUACCAACUCACUUAGAUUUGAAUACCUAACAUAAGUAUAUGAUAAUCUACUCAAAACAAUCCUCAAAUCACUAAGAUUAACCUCACGAAUUCAUCAAAACCCCAAUAAUCAAGAUUUAGAAUGAAACUCAUCAGGAACUUCAAAUUUAUGAAUCUUUAUGGAUGGAUUCGAAUAUGUAAAUCAUGAUUGGCGUGUGGGUGAACGAACGCAACACUAUGAAAGCUUACAUACCUUAAUUUGGCAAAAAUCCUCAACGAAUCUCAUGAAUCGUGACGAACGCCUUGAACUUUUCCUCUUUUCUCCUCUAUUAGCUUCUUGAACUUUCUUCUAAAACCCUAAGCGUAAAUUAGGAUUUGUAAAACUGACCCAAAUUAAAUUUGACCCCAAAUUAUUUACUAAUUUCGUUUUAAGCUGAUGGGGUAAGGAAAAAACCAAAAUACCCCUCAUAUUUUCGGGUAACUUUCCUUAACUGGACAUGCAGAUUUCAAAUGGCCAUAUCUCCCUCAUCCGAACUCAAAAAUUAUCAAACUCGGUGGCGUUGGAAAGAGGAUUCCAAACCUUUCAUUUGAUAUCUUAUGGGCCACCUAACUCAUCAUAUACUGAAAGUUAUGGUCGUUUGAAGUUGACCCAAAACUCACAAAUUAAGCCUAACUUGCAAAAUUUUCAGUUUGGCUAUUUCCAAUUUAGCACAUUCUAAAUUUAGCUCUUUCUAAGGCGGGAUGUUACAGAUGCUUACUGAGUACCUGUUGUUUUGGUACUCAUGCUACACUCUGCAUCUAUUUCGUGAUGCAGGUCCCAGUACCAGUUACCAACGGUGAUUAGUUCCUGCCCUUUUUUGCAGCUGUGGUUCAGAGACGAGGGUGAGCACUUGGCAUUUUGGGUUUAUCAUGUCUCCUUUUUUUUUUAGCUAGUCUUGUUGCUUUUUGAGACACACUUUGUUGUGGUCCACUUUUGGGACUUGUACUCUUUAUUAGAUAACUAUGUACUAGUGACUUUCAAGUUCUGGGAGGGAUUUCUGUAUAUAUUUAUUUUUGUUUGCUUCCGCCUUGUUGUCCUUUGUUUAGAUUAUUGUUUUCACUAGUUUCUACCCUCACACUCAUUACUUGAUGUUCUGGGUUACAGAUUGGCUUACCUACUGAUGGAGUAUAGUUAGUGCCAUCAUGACUCGAGAAAUCGGAUCGUGACAUUUAAUUACUUUUUUUAACGGUGGAAUGUGGAUCAACUUAUGCACCUCUCGAAUAUUUCAAUAGAUACCAUUAAUGGAAAAGUUUAUUUGGGAGGUUAUUUCCUAACAAACUACUUCCUCCAUUCACUUUUAUUUAUCCGCUUUAAAUUUUUUCACUCUCUUAGAAAUAAUAAUUGAUAUGAAUAUUUUAUUAUAAUACUUAUAUUAUAAUUGAUGUUUAGUAUUAUGUUUUAAAAAUUAAUUUGAAAUAAGUGUUUUAUUAGGAAAGUAUAUUUUGACUGGUUUAAGAGUCGCCACUUAAUUUUUAAGAAAAAUCAAGAAAACUAUUUCCAAUAGAUUAAAACGGGAAUCUAGUGAAAAUCUUAAAGGGGGUUCGGGGUUCCUAUUAAUAUUCUAGGAAGGUUUUUAAAGCACCUAGAAUAUCCGCUAAUGCGGUUAUCCGACGAUUAACUUAUUUGGCUAAAAUAGUUUAACUUAACUUGAUUGAACAAAUUUUGUAAUUAGGACCAUUUUAAGGAAAAACGGAAAAAUGUCGCAUUUAUUUAAAUGAAGUAUUUUGUAAACUUACUCAUUUAUUUAUUUAUUUAUUUUAGAGUCGAGUGAGAAACGACUAAUUUAGUUAGGUGAUUAAUUCAAAAUGGGUGUCUUUUGGGGAUUUGAAAUUUCCGACCCUAAGAUUAACAACAAAUCCUAACGAGCAAAACAAACACAUUGAAGUAAAGAGGAAAAAAGGGUGGGACCCAAAUCUGGUUUCUGUUCGCCUGGACCAGCAUUUGGGCCUAUUUCGUUUUGGGACCAAAGACCCAAUAUUCAACACCUGUCCUAAACUAAUCUUUGAAUUUUGCUUCUCUUUGGGCCUUUGGCCCAACCCUUGUCUCCUUGUACCUGUCCUAGUAACUAACAAAUAAUAAUAAUUACAAUAAAUGAGAUUAGGCCUAAAAUAACAAAAUACAAGUUUCUUUUUGUGCAAAGAGUGGGCCUUUGGCCCAAUCUUUCAAUUCUUCUUUGCUUCGAAUCCUUUCAACUCCAAGACAUGUUCAUCGAUAUUCACGGUUGUCCGACUCAAAAAGAGGAAUUCGAGCCUUUGCGGCUCUCCCGAAAUGCAAGAGGGAAUAAGAGUUCAUGGUGAACUCGGACGGAUUUCACAUAAGAAAGAAUACACAUAAAAAUAAAUUAGUACCUACUUAUAAUAAAAUUGACAAAGGUGAUUUUGAAUUAACAAAUACUUGAACUCAAACAUAAACAAAUUACAACAUAACAAUCAAAUCUAGGGUGAUCCAGUAGAUGUAAUCUUAUCACAUUACUCAACUUAAAAUGAAAGACAUUUUAUCCUCACCAUUAAUAAACUUCAAAACUUCUUUUGAGAAGAAUGAGAUAAGAGAGAGCAAAACAUUUUGAAGAGGCGGUAGCUAUAAUAAAGUUGUUUACAUAAUAUAUAUAUAUAUAUAAACAUGGACUAAAUAAUAUAUAUGUAUAUGUUUACAUAUAUAAAACAUGGAUUAUAUAUAUAUAUAUAUAUGUUUACAUAAUAUAUAUAUUUAUUUAUUUAUAACAAUUGACUAAAUAAAAUGAUAGAAGCAUAUUAAAACAUGGACUUAACUAAACGGAUUUAUCAUGUAAGGAAAAGAAAUGCCCCUUUCUUAAAAGUUUAGAUUUUUUUAUUUUUAUUUUAGAAGAGACAUAGAAACAAACAAAACUCGAGCACACUUACAACAAAUCAUAUUAACAUACUAACUUAACUAUGAACAUGAUACUCUAGACUAGUCUAUAUGUUACCCCAAGAACAAUUAAGCACAUAUCAUCUAAUAUAGGAUCUAAAAUGAGUCCAACUAGCAGAUUUACACUAAUAUUUGAGUCAUACAUAGAAUCAAAUUAGGACUAAAAUAAGCUAGUUGACAACUAAACAAAUCAUUUGAGAUACUAGACUACUCAAAUAGAAUUAUACCAAACACAUAGCACUCAAUAUAGAGAUAGAAACAAAACAAUAAAUAAAUAAAAAAAAUAAAAAAAAAUAGUAAUAUUGAAUCAACACACAGAAAUAGGGAACUGAACAAACUAGAUUAAAAUGGUAAAGGGAAUACCUUUUUUGGAGCAGGAACUAGGACGAAUGAACCGAGCGAAAGCUUUUCACCACGAAACACGAUUUUGAGAAUUCCGAAAACUAAGCAGAAGCAAACGAGAAAAGACUAAGAAAAUCUCUUUCUUAGCCUCUAUGAUUUCAAGAUCUAUUUCCUAAGUAUUUGUAUAUAACUGUAUAUGGCUAGUAAUUUUACUGUAUUCCUUUCCUACUGCCUGCCCCUUCCAACCCCGAAAAUGAAGAUAAAAGAUCGAUUUAUAUAGAGGAAGAUUAAGACUGAGUGAAGGGGGGGAAAACCGGAGGGAUUGGGGGCCAACUUGAAUUCAAAAUUCGAAAUUCAAAUCUCUUUUUAGCGAUAAGGCUGCCAGCUCCAACUAGUACUAAUUCCAACAGAUUGAGAAGGAGGGUCGUCCGAUCUUGGCAAGGACGAGUGAAUCACGGAGAUAGGGACACGUCAAGAGGAGAGAGACGCGCGCUACUGCCGGAUCGAUUUUGGUGGGCUGCCGGUUUCUGGGCUGAGUUCCCUGGUCUGCUUCUGGGUUCAUUUUCGUCUGGUCACGCGUGAAGAAGAAGAAGAAUGUGGGGGUCAUUUGUACGUUGUAUUGCUGGUGUAUUGUUGGUGGGCUGUUGUUGUUAUACUAAUGUUGGAGUUGAAAUUGAAUGGAGUGGUGGGCUGAUUUGGAAUUAAAAAAGGAUGGGCUGCUGGAGAUUUAAAGCAAGGCCCAAAAUUGGUCUCAAAAGAAUUGAAUGAAUUGGUAAGAAAGGGGCUAGAAAAUAGCCACGUGAUUUGCAAUUAUGGCCAUAGAAAUUAAGAAGUUAGCCAAAUUGAGUAUAAUUUAGAGAACUCGAGUAAAAUUUAAAUAAGACGAAUUCAUAUGAUUAAUUAAUGAGCUUCUUAAUUUCAACAAAAUAAAAUAAUUAAUUUAAUUAUUUAUUAAUAAAGCAAAAAUAUAAGUAUUAAUUAAAUUAAUUAACCAAAUAUUUAAUUAAAACAAAAUCUUUUUUUUUUUUUUUUGAGGCGACUUUCGAAUAAUCAUAAAAUAUACUAAUUAUAUACAUAAUUAUGCAAAACAUAUAUAUUAUCUAAAAAUUAUAACAAGUGAUAAAACUAUCUUAAAAUGACUUGCAAACUAUGUUAUUAUUAAUUAAUUAAUUACUUCUUUUUUUUGAAAUUUUAUAAACCUAAUUAUUUUAAAUCGUUUGAAACUGAAAAAGCUCGAUGAUUAAUCUAUAUCGGGGAGGUCCGAAAUUGGGUGUCAACAAUAAGUAAUUAAUAUUAAAGACAAAAUAUGAAAAAAUAAUUAUUAGUAUUAUUUCUCAAAAUAUUAAAAGUGACAAGAAACAUGGAAAAACUAUUUUUGGAAUAAGAUACGUGUAAAAGUGAACUAAAAGAGUAAUAGAAUAAACACAAAAGGAAAGAAAAAAAGAAAACAAAUAACGAUUUGGAUUUUGGAAAAAGUUUCCAAAAAAUAUCAAACCUAAGUAGAAUUUAAUUAGGAAAAACGUUUCUUUUUCGUAAAACAAACACUUUAUGCCUUUAAAUAAAAUUAAUCCAACCCCUAAAUUUCUAAAAUAAUUCCAUAAUGGAAACAAUUUCUCAUAAUCCUUUUAGAAUAGUGACUUUUGCUAUUCUAUAUAACAAUUACACUUUAAGCUAAGAAAUUACAUUCUACAUUAGUAAACUUUCUCAAUACUUUAUACAUCUUCUAUUUCAUCAAUUUUUUGUCAAUUUUUUUUCUUUUUCGUAGUAAUCAAAUGGAGGAGAAAUCAAAUAACAAGGAUGCAACAACAAUGGAUUCUACAAAAAAGUCAAAGUACAAUCUGGUUUUACAAAUCUUAUUACUUGUAUUAGCCAUAGCUCUGGGUGUCACUCUAGCUUUUUGCGUGUUCUAUGUUGAUCAUGAAGAUACUACUAUGGUACUUCGCGAUCCCAAAUUCAAAAUAGAAGCAGUGUCAUCAACUUCCUUUUCUGUAUUGACUCGUUAUGUUCAUCCUUUGAUAAUGUACAAUCCAGACAAUUGGAACCUCACUUUCUCAGUUCAAAAUCCUAAUAACAAUUAUGAUUUCUAUUACAACGAUUUCAAGGUUAACAUAUCCUAUACCGACACCCUUCUUUGGAGUGCCAAUGUGUUUGAUAAACUCCAUCAAGAUGCAAAAGAUCAAAGCUUAAUCGAUUCAACGUUUGCAGCUUUACCUGAGGCAUAUGAAUAUUGGAUUGGUACAUCUAUUGCUGGUGACUUUGUGUCUGGUCAGACUACAAGAUUUUCUGUUAGUCUAAUUGGGAAAAUUCAAAUCAGUGAUCGUAAAUCACCUUCUCACAUAAGUUGUCGCGAAGUUGAGGUGUCUUGUGGAGGUUUACGCGUUGAGAAUUUACAAGACAGUACAAAAACAGGAGUAUUAGUUGUUGAUUCUUCAAAAGCUUGUGUUGUUAUCUCUCAAGAUUCAACAUGUUGAUUUUUUUUUCUGUUUUUGUAGACAAGUUUAUGAAUAUAUAUUUUGUUCUGUUCUUUUAUCUUCUAUUUGCCAUGUUUAAUUUGUAUUUACUCAUUAAGUGGCUUCACUGGAAUUUCAAUACAAAAUCAACCACUAUUAGUAACUACAAAUCAAUUUAAUUGUUUGUGAAAAUUUAUAAAUAGGAUUAGAAGUACAUAUUUCAUAUAGUCCAUUACUUUGUCUUUUUCUAUGGAGUUCAAUAUUCACAAAUUACUAAUCCAAUUGAUACUAUAUGCCAACUUAUUCUAUGGAAUUCAAAAAUAAUAUUUUGAAAAUGGAUGUGGAUCCAUUACUUUGUCUUUUUCUUCAAAUUUAGUUAAAUUUAACAUCAAAACAAAAUACAUUCAAAUAUUCAAUUUUUAGUCCUGUUACAUGAUUCUUAACAAUGUGCACUAGUUCAAAAUCCAUAACAAUGUUCAGACACAUAAAAAAAUAUUUUAAGAAAUAUAUAAAUAUUUUCAAACAAUAUAUAUAUGAUUACUAAGACCAUCACUUAUGUUCAUUGCUAAAUGAACGUCGAUUGGCAAUUCAUGUAUGAUAUGUUUCAGACUACAAGAAUAUAUUUGAUAUGAUUGAAACAAUACACAAGAAAUAUCAAGGUACUCUUUAAUUUGUGCAUUUUUUUCUUCCUUUCCACUCGUUGUUAGAGUUGUUUCAUGAUGUAUAUCGUUUUGUAUCGUAUUGUGUUGCACCUUAUUGUUGUGUGAAUAUAGUGUUCAGAUAGACUGAAUUGUUCGUUUUAGUUUAACAUAUUUCCUAUUUGGUCUAACUAUAUGUCUGUAUCGUAUGGUACAAUACCAUCUAUUCAACGACUUUGGCACUAGACGUUUCCAAAAUGGGGACUUUUAGGUAAAUUCAACAUUUUUCGUCCAAGGACUAUCUGAAAGAGAAUCCAGUACUUCUUGGUCGUGAAUAUCUAAACUGAAUGUUCAAGAAUUCGUGUUAAGAUAGUUCAUACCGUCCAUACAUAGUGUUUUGAUCUAAGAUUUCAAUUCUUCUGUGUUUCAGCAGAAAGAUUUUAUCCUGAGCAUGAACCAUGUCUUCUUCUAAGCAAAAAUCUGUCAGGUAUAUAUAUGAAUCCUUGAAUUUGUGGCUAAAGUACUUAUAUCUUAUGAUAUUUUGUUAAUUUAUUUCAAAAUGCAACACUUUUUUGUACUAUUUCUUUUCUAUGUUGCUCGAGCUCUUCAAAAGUAUUGUCAGGUGUGUGUCAGAUCCUCCAAAAGGUGACAACAUUUUUGAAGAGUCCGAGCAGCAUAGUCAUGUGUUUUAUCACUAGACUCUAAGUCAUGCUCAUCUCUGUUCAAUCAGAUUUCCAAAUGACUUUGACAUAUCAAAAUCUGGAUCAUACAAUGUGUCGAAAUUCCUCAAAACUAUCUCCAUCAAGAAUCACGAACAAACGUCUAGUUCAAACCUCGAGAAGGUAGAAAUAGAGCCAAAAAUGAAGGUGUUCCAAAAGAAAAAACUUUCAAGAGUAUUUUCAGAGGACUAUGAUGGGGUGCAAUGGAAGAUACUAGAUCCGCGAGGACGUCCUAUAAACAUAUGGAACAAAUGUUUCCUUAUUGCUUCUCUAACUUCUCUGUUUGUUGAUCCAUUGUUCUUCUAUUUACCAAGUGUUAACGACGAAAUCUGUAUGGAUGCAAGUUAUCCUAUGGAGAUAGUCCUUACAAUCGUUCGAUCAGUCAUAGAUGCAUUUUAUCUGGUUCAGAUUUUAGUUCAGUUUCGAACAGCUUACGUUGCACCUUCCUCUCGUGUUUUUGGAAGAGGUGAGCUAGUCAUUGAUUCUUCAAAGAUUGCUUCAAGGUAUCUUCGUAAGGACUUUUUGCUCGACGUCUUGGCUACUCUUCCUCUACCUCAGGUACAAAUUAUCCCUCUAGUUAAAACUCAUUGAUGUCUUUUAGGCUUACAAGUUGCAUCAAAUGCUACUUUGUGUAGCUACAUCGAUUGUAGGAUGGUCAGUUGAACACUCUUCGUCAGAAAAUCAUACGGUGGUCAUAUAGAUAUGUAUAUCAAAUAUUGAACACCCUUAGCGAAAUUUCUGUUUUCAGGUUUUGAUUUGGGCUGCAAUUCCAUCUCUGAGAGGUUCAAAUAGGAUUGGUGCAAAACACGCCUUACGCCUAACUAUCAUUUCUCAGUUCCUCUUGAGGCUAUGCCUGAUUUUUCCACUUUCAUCUCACAUUAUCAAGACCACUGGUGUGAUGGUGGAAGCUGCUUGGGCUGGCGCGGUUUAUAACCUCGUGCUCUUCAUGUUGGCAAGUCAUGUAAGUUAUACGCGAUGAUGUAGGGUGAACUAAAGUUUAUUGUUCCAAUUUACUAUCCACAGUCAAACCUCUAAAUAACGACCUCGUUUGUCUGGUUGUUAAAGAGAACACAUAAUAUUACAUAACAUGAAAAGUCGAUUCCAAAAGAAAACUUGGUUGUUAAAUUGAAAUGUUAUUACAGAGAAUGAAUGUUAUAGAGAGGUCUGACUGUUGGCUUAUCGAUCAUUUUGUUUACGAUUUUUGUUAAGGUCAUGGGAUCUUGCUGGUACCUUUUAGCUGUGGAGAGGCAAGAACAGUGUUGGAAGAAGAUUUGUGAUCAACAGCAACCGUAUUGCCAAUAUUGGUAUUUCGACUGCCAGAGGAAGAACGAUAACAGUAGAAUCGCGUGGUACCAGCGGAGCAAUAUAUCUUCAUUAUGUGGUCCUAGCAGCAACUUCUUCCAAUUUGGAAUCUUUAAUGAUGCACUGACUUAUCGCGUUACACAGUCAUCGUUCUUGAACAAGUAUACGUAUUGUUUCUGGUGGGGCUUAAGGAACCUAAGGUAAGGAAAUCCAGCUAAACAUCUGUUAUUUUUCGAUUAAAUGUUUUAACUUUUUGUGAUCUAAUUUUUGCAGCUCUAUCGGGCAGAAUCUCUUGACUACUACUGACAUUAAUGAGAUAAAUUUCGCGGUUGUUCUUGCAAUUCUUGGAUUGUUGCUUUUCGCGUUACUUAUUGGGAAUAUGCAGGUAAGUUAUUAGAUGAUAAAGGGACAUAGUUUUCGAUCUUAGCCAAAUUUCUACUGAAAAUGUGUAACUUUUAAUACUAGACCUUCCUUCAAUCUACUACUAUGAGACUCGAAGAAUGGAGGAUUAGGAGGACGGAUACAGAAGAAUGGAUGCAUCAUCGUCAACUCCCUCACGAUCUAAAGGAGAGGGUUCGGAAAUAUGAUGUGUAUCGUUGGGUGACAACAAGAGGUGUUGAUGAAGAAUCCAUCGUUAGAAGCCUUCCUGUUGAUCUCAGAAGGGACAUCAAACGUCAUCUUUGUCUUGAUCUAGUUCGUCGAGUGAGUAUCAUAUACUUCUAUCAAACUCCCUCUGUCCCAAUUUAUACGUCUUACUUACCUUUUUGGUAUCUCCCAAAAAGAGUGUCUCGUUCUAUAUUUAGUAAGUUUUUCAGUUCCAACAUUCUACGUGACAAGUGUAAGUUGGUCCUGUAGGUACCUUUGUUUGAUCAAAUGGAUGAGUGUAUCUUAGAUGCAAUAUGUGAAAGGUUGAAACCACUUCUAUACACCACGGGAACUUGCCUAGUUCGCGAAGCUGAUCCAGUGAACGAAAUGCACUUCAUUAUAAGAGGACAUUUGGAUUCCUACACUACUGAUGGAGGAAGAACAGGUUUCUUUAACUCGUGUCAGCUCGGUCCAUGUGAUUUCUGUGGUGAAGAAUUACUAACAUGGGCACUAGACCCUCGUCCGAGCAUCAUCCUUCCCUCCUCUACACGUACAGUGACCGUGCUCACUGAAGUAGAAGCGUUUGCAUUGGCUGCAGAAGAUGUGACCUUUGUGGCAUCACAGUUCCGUAAACUGCAUAGCAAGCAGUUAAGGCAUACAUUCAGGUUUUACUCGAACCAAUGGAGGACUUGGGCCGCGUGUUUUAUACAAGCAGCUUGGUUUCGAUACAAGAGAAGGAGAGAGGCUGCUGCGCUUAAUAAAGCGAAGCAGAGUCCCCUGGCUGCUCCUCUGCCUACUGAACCACGAGAUGAACGAAUUAGAAGCGUGUCGUUGGGACAAAAGGCUUCAGAGUUUGCUGUGUAUGCUGCAACAUUGGCAGCAAGCAACAGAAAAGGUGGAAGCAUGAGGGGAGAACUAGAAAUUAUUAGUUCAUUACAAAAACCUGUGGAACCUGAUUUUUCGGUUGAGGAUAGAUGAACGCAAAUGCACGAGCCAGGAUUUUUAGUUUAUGAGUUUUGAACACACUAUCAAUACAUAUUGAAUGAAUUUUUCAAUACAAAUGUAGGAUUUGAGCCAAAGUUACUGAGUUCUACUGAACUCGUAGAGCCAAAUCAGACUAUGAAUACGAAAUACACUAUUGUUGUAUCAUAAAUGUUAAGUACUAGUUUUCCAUUAAGAUUGCAAUGUAAGUCGAUAGUAUUGAUCUAGCAUAUAAGUUCGUUUCUACCUCUCUUGGAGCUAUAAACAAUGAAGGUGGUCAGUUGAACAUUUUUUCACUAAAAGAUUAUAUGAUAGUGUAUAUUUUGAUCCUAUUGGUAAAUUAGUUGGCCGAACGAUAUAUAUUUGUAACUUCAAGAUUCAAUUUUUACGCGUAUAAGCAAACAUAUACUAGUUAAUUACUUAACAUAGCUAUAGUUUCCCUUAAUUACAAUUCACGACCUACUCUUAGCUAUAAUUACGCGGCUCAACCUUUUAGUUUUGUAUAAUCCGCAAGUUUGUAUAAUUCGAAAUUUGUAUAAUAUAAUUUGUAUUACUUUUGUAUAAUUUGGAAUUUGUAUAAUAUAAUUUGUGUAACUGUUUACACUUAUGAUGUUUGUAAUUGUAUAAAUUCGUUAUUUCGAGUUUAUACAAAAAUAACUGAAUUGUACAAAUGUACCUGCGAAUUAUACAAAUCCACGAAUUAUACAAACGAGGCAGCUUAAGUUGUAGCUACAACCCGUAAAUAUGCAAACUAUAGCUAUGAAACAUAAUUAAGUUUAUUUUAGUGGCUAUUUGCGAAAAUUCCUCAUAUAAUUGAUGGGUUUUAUUAGAUAAACAACUGGAGCUGGACUGGGAUAUAGAAGGCCCAAACUCAAGAAUCUGGCCUGAAUAACCAUAUUGUGGCCCAGUUCAUGUUGAAUAAAGACAUUUGGGCUCUUUAAUCAAGAAUGAAAUUAUAUGUUUUGGCUAAUUUAAUUUGAGAAUGAGAAAAUAAAACUUGAAGUACAUAUUAACCGUGAAUUCAGUUUAAUGAGAAUAUGACCCUACAUAGGAAGGCAUGUGGAUCGUAUAUUAAAGUAAAAGAGCAGUAGGUAGCCGAGUCAUGUUGCCGCACUUGUAUGUGGGAGAGGUAGGGGGCUAGUCUCCUCUUCUCAGAAGUUAAUUAUGUAGUGCCUUUCUCUUCACUUUUACUACUCUUUGUUCAUUUUGUUAUUUUGUUAUCGUUAUUUUUCAUUCAAUAGAUUAUGUUUUGAUUACACUACUUUUGAGUUGAGAGUCUAUAAAAAUCAACCUCUUUACCCCACAAAAAUAGCGGUAAACUUUGCAUAUAUCUACGUCAGGUGUAGCGGACAGUGUGGGAUUACACUAGGUAUCCAGUUGGUGUUGUUUACAUAUUAACCAUGGAGUUCAUGGGAGUUCUCCAAUAUUUUUCCAAACAGAAAGAAAAUGAACAAGGCAAAAGUAUAGAGGAUUAAUGAUGGAUUUAAGAUAAUAUACACUCAUGGAGUGAAAAAAAAAAUUCGAUAUCAUCAGUAUAAUUCAAUUGACCAUAUCAAGUUAAUUAAUAAUUAUUUUAUUCUUCAGGUACUAUAUAUAUCAAAUUUACAACAACAAUUAUACUCAGUGUAAUUUCAUAAGUAAGGUAUGAGAAGGAUUGUGUAUAGAGAGACCUUAUUCCUAUCCUGUACUGAUAGAUAGGUUAUUUUUGAUAAAUUCUUUUAACUUUAAAAAGCAUAAACACAAACAUUAAUUAUGGAAACUACUAUAUCAAAUUUGUUAUUUAAAAUAAUUCUAUUACACUAUGCUUGCAUACUUAAUUAACAUGUUGGUACCAAUUGAGAAGUCGGUUAGCUACUAAUUAAGUUGACUAGAAAUUAAAGGAAUCAUUAAGAUUCUUUUACCCCACCCCAAAUGACUUUUGUAAGUGGAAUUUGGCAUCAUCAAUAUUAAAGAUCUCGGCUUUAAACUUUACGUAUAGAUUCGUCUUUGAUAGGGACAAAGUGAAACUUUUCGUCCCCCAAGUGAGACUUUCUGUCGUCUUUGAUAGAGAGCGUUGCCCUCAAUAUGAGACUUUUCAAUACGAAUUUAUAUUAAUCAUGCAUCAAAGUGAAUAUCAAACGUCAAACGAAAAAUCUAAAAAAAAAAAGUGGAAUUUGACAGUUAAUACCGUUAGGAUGUCAAAUAAAGUUAUUAAUGCCUUAUUCCUCCCAAUAAAGUCGACCAAAAGCAGACCACUUAUUUGUCUUUAUCAAAAUAUCAAUUAUUCUCAUUAAUUACUUUGUAAAUAUCAUUGCUAUUUCUAUAUUGUAAUUACGGAUAAAAUUACAGAAAAAAAUGUUUAUCAUCAUUAUUAUACAUAUUUUUUGUUUGUAUUUUGUCAUGAGGGUAAGUUCUAUACAUAUUCAUUAUAAAAAAAUAUUUACUAGAAAAUUUAAUACUAAUUAAUAUUGAUUGGAUACCACAAAUAAAUGGCGAGAAACAAUAUUAAAUAUAUAUAUAGUUAGACAUGUAUAACUUAAUUAAAUCUCACCUAUCCAUAAAUUGUAAGCACUAUAUAGUUAAUGAGUUUAAAUUAUAUAUAACAUACAUUGUUUAGCAUAAUAUCUUCAUAUAACUUAAAAGAUAUUUAUUUGUAGGUAAUGUUUAUUAAAAUUUGAAAAUAAGAAAGGAUUCCAUAGGAAACAAUAAAACCAUGCACGUUUUUUUGGUCUAAAAUGGCGGCCAUCUAUGCAUGCCUAUGAAAGCUAUUUAUCAAGAAACAUGAAACCAAUAAGUUUGCUUCCUGUCAGGUCCGAGUCAAAUUUAAAUUUAGUUAGACUUUAAUAUAAAUAUCGAAUAUCGAAUAAAAAAUCCAAAAAUUAAUAAUAAAAAAUAAUUACUUCCUUUAACUUACUUUUUUUCAUUUUAAAAUUGAAAUCAAGUAGUUUUUUUCUUUUAACAUUUCCUUCAUUAUAUAUUCAGAUUAAUUUUAUAAAUAGUUAUAUUAAACUAUAAAAUAAUUGAUAAUAUCCGACUUUUAAUAUCGAAUCAGAAUAUAUUAGAAUAAAAAUAAAGUAUUAAUAUAACAAAACGAUCACAACGGUUUAAAUUAUAACCUUUCGAUACACUAACAUAUUUUCUUUUUAUUUGCUUAAAUUGUCACAUUAGCACUUCCCUUAAAUUGUCGAUUCACAUCGCUUAAUUAUGUAUCUUCAAUCACCUAAAAAUAUUUAGUAGUGAAAGAUUACUUGGGUUGAAAUAUCUUUGAUCAAAAUGGAUUAAAUUAUAGUAUGUCAUUAGCAAUUUGCUCAAUUCUAAUCAAUUUGUUUUUGUACUUCUUAUAUUAUUCGGUUAAUUAACUAAUAAAAGUUCUUUUAUUUUUAUUAUAAUUAUAUAUAAUACAAUAAUUUUUUAAAUAUUUUAACAAGAUUUCUUACGAAUCAGUUAAAUUUUAUCUUUUUUUAUAAAAAUCCAAAAUAACUCAAAAAGAAAACCAGUGAGAAAAUAGUCAAAGUGGGACUUCUUUGAACUUGACUAAUGUAACAAAGCUUAACCACCGAAAGAGUUCUCUCUUUGCCAUAUAGAAACUCAUUUUACACAUAUAUUUUUUUUGUUUGUUUUUAUUCUACAUUUUCAAGAAAAUAAUAAAAUAAAAUAAAAUAAAUAUAAAUAUAAUAUUUAAAGGAAAAAGAAGAAGAAGAAGAAGAAGAAAAGGCAAAUAAAAGUUGGUCUAACUUAAUAAAGGGGUCCAUAAUUGUUUGCAACUUCAUUAAUGUUGUUCCCCUUUUAUGUCUCAAACCUCAUGAGCUUGUCCACUUAAUUGUCAUCAUAUUUUAUUUUAUUUUUAAAAUUAUACUAAAAAAUCUCACUUCCUUUUUCAUGGGAUUUUGUGUCAUAUUUGUACUUUAUAUUAUUUUUUAUAAAUAAAAAAAUCAAUUUUAAAUUGGUGUUUUGAUCAAUCAAAGCAUGCAUAAAGUUUUUAAAGCAAGGUGCUUAUUAUGAUAUAUUUUGCAUGGCUGACCAACAUCUCAUUUUUUUCAAAAAGAAAAAGAUUCAUAACUAACUAAUAUGACACCUUGAAGUAUUUUAAGGAUCAUCCUUUUCUUUUUAAACUUUCAACCGACUUUUCUACGAUUACAUCAACAUAUUCAACGUAAUUUCAUAAGCCUAAUCUGAAAAGGAUGAGAUAUAUGCAUGUUUUAUUUCCAUAUUGUAUUAUGAGAUAGAGAGAUUAUUUUCAAUAAUCUUCAACUCAUAUGAAUUAGUCAUUCCAAACACUAGUUUAUCAAUGUAUUUUUGCUAAUUAAUAUGGUAUAUAUCUAAAAUUUACAAAACAAUCCUAUUAAUUCAGAUUCACGUAGGGCAAAACUCAUUUGAGGGGAAACGUUUUUUUUCUAAAAAGAAAAUGUUGCAGCACUAAUGAGUAAAUGGAAGAUGGUAAUUAAAAACUAAAUAAAAGAAAGGUGGUAUCAGUAUGAAAUGGUGCUUUUCAUUUUAACUUAAAUAAGAUGAUUUAUAAUCACAUAAAAUCUACUUUUUAUUUAAACUAUAUAAUUUUAUCUUAAAACAUUUCAUAUGUUGAAAAGAACAUAUAUGUAGGCAAACAUUCCAAAAAUAUAUUAAGAAAAAUAAAAGGACUGUAUUAUUCAUCAGACACAUCAUGUUAUAAUUACUAGUUAAGUUAUAUUUUCACAAUACAAUUUAAUCCUUGAUUAUUACAACAAAAAAGCCAAUAAAUAUGUUUAAAAUAAUAUUAAACUAUAACAUUCAAAUCCAUCUUGACCAAACAUAGUAUAGUAGUUAGUUGAUGCUUAGUCUCUUAUUCUGCAAUAAUAUGUUAUUAUUGUCUGUAAUUGCUUCAUUUGUUUUGUAUCUUGUUAUUUUUUCUUACAAUUCUACUUCGAAAACUCUUCUUUUGAACCAAAAAUUUAUCAAAAACAGUUUCUCUACGGCUAUACUCCACAAAAAUAAGAAUAAAGUCUAUAUACAUUGGAAUUACAUUGAAUUUGUUGUUGUUAUUAUAUUUCUUGACCAAACAAUUGCACUAGUACUAACCUUCCUAUAGGUUUAAUAAUAAUAAUAAUAAUAAUAGUAAAUACAUCUUCCACUAUUAAUAUGAUGGCAACUCACUCUUUAAUUUCCUACUAAUUUGAAUAAAUAAAUCAGUCAAAACAAGAAAAGUAACUUUAAUUAUUCCCACUAAACUAGUAUUGAAAAAACAGGAAUUAUUAUCAAACAUGAUCAUGAUUGGUUAUCUACUACCUUAAGUCAUUACAUCUUGCUUAAAAUUAACCAUUUGUUUCUCUCUUUUUAUCUUUAAGUCAAAGAUAAUCAAGGUUUAAAAGUUGUAAGGGGAAUCAUUAUAGUCACAACUUAGACUUCUUUAACAUGAUUCAAACACUACUAGCUAUAGUUGAAGCCAAUGCCUAUUAACAAUAAAAUAAAGAACCUAAGUUAUAUAUAUUAUCAGUACACAAGUAAUUUUUGUAUAUCAUUGAUCAGAUCAUUUUUAUCUGUUAUAACAUAUAACUUAUCGUAAUUUCAAGAUUACAUAUCUUACAUUUCAAGUAAGCUUAUCUAUAAAUAUCUUUUCAACUACCUAAUUAAUUAAUAGAGUGAAAAAUAUAUCUUAAACUGACGGCUUAUAUAUAAUUUACACUCUAAGAAUAAAAUUUUAAAAAAAUGAACGUUAACCUAUUUUGAAAGCAAACAUGCUAGCCAUGCACUCAUAUAAGUCUUACUUAAUAAUCAUUACCCAAUGAAAGCACUCUAAAGUUUAGGCUUUUUUAAUUUUUCCAAAGUUGAACCUUCUUAGGUCAAAAAAAAAUAUUGUCUCACUUUAAUUUGCACUUUAUUUAAUUGGUCUACAUAUAUCACAUGUUAAAAGAAAAUGUUCUUUCCACAAUUUUUGGAUAAUUUGUAGUCCAGUCAAACAUUCACCUUAGAACAAAUAGUUUCAAAACUAAUUUGCUUCUAUUUCCAAGAUAAUGGAACCACAAGUAUAUCAAGAACCUACCACUCCCUUCGUUCACUUUUAUUAGUCUAUUUUGAACUUAGCUAAUUAAUAAAUAUAUUGUUAUAAUAUUAUGCAAGAAAUGUAUUUAACUUGCCUCCUUCGAAACACAAUGAUACAUUUCAAGGGGUUACGUUAAACUCAUUUUGUUAUACUAUUUAAGCUAUAUACAUCAUUACUGUAGAAUUUUGUAACAAAUGUUUUGUUUUAUUUUAAAAAUUAUAAAUCCUAUAAUAUUCUAAUGAGUCUACCUAUAAAUAUUAUUUGAUUGGCUAGUCAUAAAUAUAAGUAUAUUAUAAUGAGUCUACCUAUAAAUAUUAUUUGAUUAACUAGUCAUAAAUAUAAGUAUUCACAUAUUUUUUUUCUUUUCUUCUACUAUUGCUUUGAGACAAAGGAAAACAAAAAGUGGAAAAGUUAAAAGGAGCUUAAACCCAAUGUAGGAAAAAACUUAAACAUUUUGGCAGCCUCUUCUUUGACCAUAUUCAAAUAUAAAGCUGCAUAUAAUUGAGCAAAAGCAUGAAUAAGUCAAUCAUAUAAAAGUUAGCGAAGUGAAACCAUAUCUUGAAAAUUCUCAUUGAACGAAAAGUACGAAAUAAAUCAGAUAUUAUUCCCCUUCCUCGAUCCAUAGAUAUAUAUACUAGUAUACAAUGUUUAAAUCAAUAGAAAAUCUUUUCUUCUAUAUGAAUUAAUUAUUCCAUUUUAAAUCCUCCUCGAUACAUUGAGUGGCAACGUUUGUCCUUUCACAUAUGCAGACGGGCCUCAUCCACACACAUGAGUUCGACCUUAAAACAUUGGGCUCUAUCGAGUUCACAAGUUGUGAUUUCUGUGAAAAAAAAUGAUAGUUACGUGAUCAUUUGCGAAAUUUAUGUGAAAAAAGUGUGUGUCAUCAUGUUGAUUAAUGAAGGUAGUCUUGUCAACGUGGAAUAUUCUAAAAAACUCAUAAAUGUUGUUUUACUAACUUAACAAAUAUGGUCAAUAAAGCAUUGGCAUGUUCCUUCCCCAACCGAUCGAUGGGCACAAUCCCUUCAAGUUAGGCUUUACAAUUAUUAUUUUUCUUUUACAAUCAUUAAACAAAAAAAAUUAAAAAUUUAUAUUAUCUUUUUGUUUUUGUUUUUUACUUGUGUCUGAUUUGGACGUACAUGACUAAUUCAAAUUCAUGUGUAAGGCUUAUUAAAGAAUUAAUGCUUUUUAUCAAGAUUUUUUUCAUUCCAAAUGCUUGAUCGAACUUUGUUUGAAGAUUGAAGAGUUCUAUUCAUUUCACCGCAACCUUUUAUAGUGAGUCGAAUUGUAUUUUCGAUUUACUUUAGGCAAACGGUAGCCCAUUUAAAGGAAGAAGUAGUUCUCCGAUCCCUACUAAUUGUUUCCUAGGGAUAACUUAGGUUUGAGUUUUUGGUAAUGAAUUUUUGGUAAGAAGCGAUGGAACCUAAAUUUGUAAUUGGAUUCCAAAAGCAGAUAUCGAACCUCGAGUGAAAAAUAAAAAGUUAAAGCUCUUCAUAGAGUACAUAUGCUGUUAUUUUCCACUUAUUUUUAAAAAUAUAAAAAGUACAAACAGCCCAACAACUCUGUGCAAUUGCAAUUGUCAAUCUUUUUAAAACUAAUUCUUAUUUGUACAUUUGAAUUUUCUUUAUUAUAAACAUACAAACACCUUGUUUUCUAUUAUUAUAAAAAAAUUUACUUAAAAAAAUUAUGUCUUCGUAUCUUGUUUCAAAUUAUUUAUCCUAAUUUUUUUUCAAUUCAUAUAUUCAAUUAUUUUAAUUUUAAGAUCACAAAAUUAAAAAAUAUGUUGAUAUAUUUGACAUAUGUUUUUUGUUUAUAACUAUAAAAUUUAAAAAAAGAAGUUAUUUUUUUAAAUUCUAUAUUAAAUUAUAAAAAGACAAAUAAAUUAAAAGGAUGAUGUGAGAUAUUUAUGAGGGAGGAUGUGAAAAUGAAUCAAGAUUGGGCUAAUAGUUGAAAAAUGAAAUAACCUACGAUGAACCUACGUAUAGGGGGAGACAAAACGUUACUUUUUUAUACUCAAAAUCUUUCAUUAAAUGCUUUAAAUAUUAGAAUAAAAAUUAUGAGCAACGGAUAAUGUUCAUGUUAAAUAACAAAAAAAAAUUGUUGCUAAUUAUUUAGCAUCAUAUAAAAAUGCUACGAGUAAGAUAUGCAAUUUCAAAAAGUAGAAUAUUCUAUUUGAUAACUAAAAUAUGUUGUGAAGUUUUAUUAGACUUUUGACUUGAAAGGUGCAAUACGCAAUUUUUAUUUUGGAAAUGUGCAAUAAAAAAUUAUACAAAGACUAAAAGUAAUAAAUUUGGUUUGAAAAAUAAGCAAAACAAAUCACGAGAAUUUUGUUAGUUAUACUUAUCCAGAAUAGUUGAUAAUUUUGGUCACGGAAAUUUUGAGGGUCAUUAUCAAGUUUUUAUAGAAAGUAGAGUUUGACUUUUACGUAACCGAUUUAUUUUUGAGAAAAUUUUAGGUUUAGAAAAUAUAAAAAUCAACAUAAAAUCAUAUUUGUAUGUUAUAUUUAUAGUUUGUAUAAUUGCGUUUCAUAGCAAAUUUUAUGUUUGCUAUGGAACAUCAGAUUUGUAUAAAAUCGAUGACAUCCUCUCAUUUGUAUAAAUCGUUGUCAACCUCUCAUUUGUAUAAAUCGCUGACAACCUCUGGUUUGUAUAAAGAGCAACUUUCACAUAUAGCAAACAUAAAAAUCAUAUUUGUAUGUUAUAGCUAUAGUUUGCAUAUUGCGCUCCAUAACAAAUUUUAUGUUUGUUAUGGAACUUUUGAUUUGUAUAAUUCGCUAGAUACAUCCAAUUUUAUACAAAAUUGUUUAGUUUUGUAUAAAUUCAUUUAUACAUUGUAAUUUGUAUAAUUAUAAGUGUAUAUGACGAAAAUAUAUGUAUUUGUAUAUACACUUUUCUCUCACUUUAUACAAACACAAACACAUUUUUAUACAUUUAUAUACCGAAUGGGUAAUUGUAUACCGAAAAUGACUAAUUGUAUACCGAACCAAAUGACAAAAAAAUGGAAUGUUUGCUGCGAAUUACAAAUAAAAUAAACUAUGGCUAUAUCAAGGAAAAAAUGAAUAUUUAUUAUUAUUUCCAAUUCAGAGACAAUAGUCUGAAGCAUAAUUUUAUCUAUUUGACAUGAUAAUCUUUUAAGGCCUGUGGUUCAAUUAGCUUUACACCAAAAUUGCCUCUAUCACACAUUUAUUCCAAUUCUCACAAAAUGUACUUUUUUCUUUCUUAUUUCCACCUACCUCUUUUACAUGGAUUUUAAUCCCUUACAAAUUUUUAAAAUGGAAACUUAUUGUUAGGGAGCUAGAUGUGGCAAAAGCGAAAGAUCUUGUAAUAUAAUUUGAAUGGAGUCUGAUCGUCGAACUAAUCCUGACCUCCCUAAAUGUAUUUGAUAAAGACUUUUCGCCUAUUUAAUAAUGAAAAAAUAAUUCUUAAUCUUUGAGCACAUUGGUGUGUAGACUUUUGUUCCGAAUCGAGAAAAAGUACUCAAGCAUAGUGAAAGGAUAUACCUAACCAUAACACGAAGUUCAAUCGAGACUGAAGAGAUGUUUACUAGAAGCCUUUUCUCUUCUUUCUUAGAAUUUUCAAAGCUUGUCAUCCUUUCCCUUAUAUUUUUUUAUUUUUUGGGUGAUAUUCAUAUUUGUAAUUAUCUCCCAUCUUGGUGGUUUAAUUAGUCGAAAUAAAAUAAAACUUGUUAAAUCUUAAUUUACUUGUCUUUAAUAUAUAUUUUUCUUACAAAUUUUAUCCCUAACUAUAAUGUUGAUUUUUCACGUAAACAAAUGGAUAUAGUGAUUAAUUUAAUUCUUGAGCCAUCAAAAUAAUUGCCAUUCGUUAAUAAUGAAAACCUGCCGACUAUUUCACCUUUUUAUUUAUUUAUUUUUACUUUUUAUUUUUCCUCUUUAAUUUCCUUCUGACUUUUCAAUGAGAGCUAAUAAUGUAAAUAAUUUUAAGAAAAUAUAUAAUCUAAAAAAUUGUACACCACAAAAUUGCAAAUUGUGACGGUGCCAAUUUAUAUUUAUAUAAAAGUAAAAAUUUAAAUUACCCCAAUCAAUUAAAAGUCACUUUAUACUCCACCAAUUGACAGUUUGGUUUUAUUAUCAUUUUUGUCUUCUUAUUUAUGUUGCCAUCCUUUCCUCUUCCACCCCCCCCCCCCCAUAUUCUUUUUCAUUUAAAAUAGAGAAAAAUGACAAAUAUAUACUCCUGAGCUAUCAUAAAUGGUAUGCAAAUACCCCAUCAUACUUUUUGGGAUAUUGGUGCCCUACCGUUCAAAAACUAGAGCAUAUAUGCCCUUCACUCUAACAGAAGACUAAAUAGUGACACGUGGCACAAUCUUAUUCGUCGAUCCAAUAUUUAAUAAAUAUCGAAUCGGUGGAUGAGAUUAUGACACGUGGAUAUCCGUUAGUAUAACCUAUAAAGGAUAUAUAUGCUCUAGUUUUUGGACGACAGGGGCACCAAUGUCUCAAAAGUAUGACGAAGGGUAUCUGCAUACCAUUUAUGAUAGUUCGGGGAUAUAUUUAUCCUUUUUUCCUUUAAAAUAAAUAUUUUUUUUGCCUUUUAUAUUUAAUUUGAAAUAAGUAGUAAAAAUUUAAACAAAUAAAAAAGUAUUAAAUUUAUUUUUAUCAAAUAUUUCGUUCGUUCGUUCACUUUUACUGAUUUGUUGUUUAUACAUUGAAUAAAUGAAUAUACAUAUAUUGCGAUAAAAUGAUAUGUAUUUUUUUAUCACUAAAUCAGAAGUUUUGAAAGUUCGAUAGAAUAUACUUUAGUAUUUCUUAUGUGACUUUGAAUUAGUCGAGUCGAGUGUUUGCCACCAAUUACAAUACAGACCAUAAUACACACAAUACUUGAGUGAAAAAAAAAAUACACACAAAAACAUGCUAAUUAUAAUACCCCGCGUGCAAGCAUGCACUCAUUUUUUUUAUGUGUGUAUAUCCAACAUCCCACUAAACAUAUAUAAGUAAUUAUAUUUUGAUAAUCUCUAUACUUUAUAAUUUUUUUUUUUUGUAGUUUCAAAAGAGUGGACUGUAAGUAAUCAGACACAAAACAGAGAUGAAAAAAUAAAUAAAAAAUAAGACAGAUAGGCCAACCUAGGGAUUGAGGAAUUUUUUUCCUUCCAAAAUAAUUUAAUUGAAAUAUGAGUUAUUAGACUAAUUAUUUCCUCCGUUCUUAUUUACAUGUGUCGACCUACAAACAUAUUUAAAUAUGAGUUAUCACAGGCAUGGUCCCCUGUUCCUCCCAUCCUGACACCAACAUAAAUGACUAAAUUUUUUAUUUUUUGUAAUUAUAUUUAAUUGUUUGAUAUUCGAAAUUCACUUGCUUGAUCGAUUAAUCAAGAUUCUUAAUAAGAGUUAAAAUCCAGGGGUGGCUCAACGCCUUUAAAGAUGAAGCAUAUGCCUUAGGCCCCCAAAAUUGAAGGGCCUAAUUUUUUUAGUAAUAAUAAAAUUAUCUUAAGCUUUUUUUUAACAAAAAAAUAAAUAAAGAAUGUUUUAAUUUGUUUCGAAAUAUUAAAGAAUAUUUUUUUUAUGGAUCAAUUUUUAAAUUUAACUUGCACAUGAUAUGUUUAAGACCACAAGAUUAAAAAAUAUAUUUUGGUAUAUAUAUAUCUUUAGCUUAAGAUCAUAAAAAAAUAAAACUUUUUUUUAUUAAAGAAAGAAAUAACUUGAAUCUCAGAUAUAGAAAAAUAAUUAAAAUUUAGGCCUUCAACUUAUUUUUGGCUUUAGGCCACUAAUUAUCUUGAGCCGCCACUGUUAAAAUCGUGUCACAAUAUAUAUAUAACGAGAAGUUUUUUUCUAGCAGAAGUUAGAUUCGUGUUAUCUACCUUCAUAAAGAGAAAAUGUUGAUCAGAGAUAACAUGUAGAGUCCAAUUUCUUAUCGUUUAAAAUAUGUACAUUGACACAACUUAGAAUUAUUUGUAUUAGGGUCAUAACUACUUGAUCGAUCUUGACCUAUUUUUACUCUUGAUGAAAUAAUUUAGAUGCACCCCAGCAAAUCCAAACACUAUAUUCAUGGGUUUGGGACAACAUGGUAAGCCAAGUGACAUGGGAGGAGGGAAAUAAAAAUUGAAAUGUUUCCUAUUAAUAGAGCAAGUGUGUCUAAUGAAGUAGGGUGGAUUAGGGUACAAGCCUGAUACACCAAUACCCAAUUGUUUUAAUUUGUUUAUUCAAUAAUAAUAAAUAAUAAUAAUAAUCUUUUAAUUUAUUUAAUUUGCACAAUGCUCAAUGAGUAUUAGUGUUACUCCAUCUGAAUUUUUCACAUAUAUUUGCCCAUACAAUGUGUUGUAACUUGUGAAUGGUAGUAAGCAUGCUAGUACUUGAUUAUUUUUUUAAUUGUUUAGUCCAAGAGAGAAAAUAAAUUAAAAGAGAAAAUAAUUGUUUUGUAAUGUCCAUUUAGAACCUUUUUGCAGUUGAAAAGGUGUUAAUCUUUUUCAAAGUUGCAUGAGAAAAAGGCAAAAAUAAAAAAUAAAACUAGAUUAAGAAAAGUUUCAAUAUAGUACUGUUUAUUUCAGAAAGGUAGAAUAUUUUAUUUGUAUUAUGCUUAUGGGGUUCAUGUUGUUUAUUUUCUUUUAAGUGAUGAAGUUCUUUUAAUUUUUUUCAUCAAUUUGAGGUUCUUUUUGUUUCUAUUUUUGAGAAUGGAAUCUCCAAGAAUAUAGGAAAAUGAGUGGAAAGAUGAAUUAUUGAUAUGUGAACUUGUGAAAUUAUCAUUAAUCCAUUGUUCAUAAGGAAAAUAUAAAAUUAUAUAUAAUUAAUUAGAGGCCUCUCCAUUAAAAAUUUUUGUUAAGAGUGUUCAAAAUUUAAUAAAUAAAAUAUUUAUAAUAUUUUUUAUACAGAUGAUAUAAAUUUUCGAUAAAGAAUAUUCCAUUGAUCAAAUAGCCUUCAUUAUAUUUGAUUACCCUAAUUUUAUGAAUCUAAUGUUCUCAUAUUCAAGUAAAUCCCCCCCCCCCCCNNNNNNNNNNNNNNNNNNNNNNNNNNNNNNNNNNNNNNNNNNNNNNNNNNNNNNNNNNNNNNNNNNNNNNNNNNNNNNNNNNNNNNNNNNNNNNNNNNNNNNNNNNNNNNNNNNNNNNNNNNNNNNNNNNNNNNNNNNNNNNNNNNNNNNNNNNNNNNNNNNNNNNNNNNNNNNNNNNNNNNNNNNNNNNNNNNNNNNNNNNNNNNNNNNNNNNNNNNNNNNNNNNNNNNNNAACAGCCCCCCCCCCCCCUACCCCCCUAAAUUUCUACCUUCUUCAUUUGACUACUUAUGCAAAGAAAAUAAACAUAAUGUGUCAAUAAUCUCAAAUAUAGAUUUCGGGGUCGAGUCUCUAAAAAUUUUAUUGGGAGCAUACUCCUUAAGUAUGAGCUAUGUAAUUUGCGAUUUCAAAUUUAGUUGUACCUCUAUAUACGAAUAGAAAACAUUUUAAAAAAAGUCAUUAGUCCAUUUUUCAUAAGGAAAAUGUAAAAUUAUGUAUCAUUAAUUAGUGGUAUCCACAUAAAAAAAGUCAUUAAGAGUGUUCAAAAUUUUAUAAAUAAAAUAUUAUAUAAACAACAUAAAUUCUCCAUAAAGAAUAUUCGACUAUCGAUACCCUUCAUUUUAUGUAACUAUGCUAAUUUUAUUAAUCUAUUGUUCUUAUAUUUUAAUGUCCCCACUAAAUUUCUGCCUUCUUCUUUUAACUACUUAUGCAAAGAAAAUAAACAUAAUGUGUCAUAAUAAAUACUCCAUAAUUUCAAAUAUAGAUUCCGGGUUCGAGUAUGAUCUUGUUGGAAGCGUACUCCUCAAGUAUGAGCUAUGUAAUUUGCGAAUUCGAAUUUAGUUGAACCUCUAAUACGAAUAUCAAAUAUACGUAUAGAAAACAUUAAAAAAAGCCUUCAAAUACAAAUUAUCUAAAACAUAAAAUUGGAUCAACAACAUAUUAGUGGAUUCACAUGAAUUCAACAAACUUUUGUUCAGACUCUAUAUAUAUGAACAAAACAAUUAUAUAUUUAUAUAUUUUAUUAUUAUGAUUACUAUUUAUGAACUUCAAUUAUUAUAGUUACUAUAUAUUAACUUAAAUUAUUAUAAAAACCUAUAAAAUUCUAACCUUUAAAAAAGAUGGAUAGAAGGAUUUGGAAAAAGUUGAUGUGGAUUGUGGAGUGAACAUCAUGGGUGAGGAGAGAAGGUAUGGACCCUUUGGCCCUAACUAGAAGGAAGUAAGAAAACACCAAGUACAAACUAUUGCUAUCUUACCAAUAAUUCUACAAAUGAAAUUAUUAUUCCCUGAUUUACUUCUCAAUUUUUGAUUUGACACAUCUAUUAAGAAAAUAAUGAUUGCUAUAUUGAGUUUAUCAUUUUACUUUUUUUUAAACAUGUAUUAAUUAUGGAGAGUUUAGUUAUUCACGUAUAUAGUUUUUUCAACUUCUAUUAUGCAUAAAAUAAUCUAGAAACCUGAAUAACUAAUACAAUUUACUAAUUUUGUACAUGAAUAGUUUACUUUCUAACUAGCUACCAAACAUGAUAUUACUUAUACAAGAUUUAAUAUUUAUCUAACUCACCUCCAAACCAGCUUCUCCAUAGCUCACAUAACUAAAAGUUCAUAUCCAUCUCCACCCCAUAGCUAGUUUUAGUCCUAAUAUUAUUACAAAUAAAUAAAAAUUACUGAAUUCGUCCAAAAUCAUACCUAAUAUUGUAACUUCACCCCUAGACUCCACACGAGAACAUGAAUUCAAAUUAAUCGAGAAAAAUGAAUUAAGGUGGUCCACACGUGCCUAGAGAGCACAAAGCACAAGCGUGCUAAGUGAUAGUCACGUGCCAUACUCCCCCAAUACAUGUAUAGAGAAAAUCACAUAUUGUAUUGAGCAAUGGAGAGUUUUUUUUUUUUUUUUUUAAAAUUAAUAAUUUAGCAAUUUUUGUUAUUUUUGUUUUAGUGUGGUCAAGCUAAAGGGUGUAUAGGUAUUAUUCAUUAUUAUUCUAUGUCACACGUAUAUAUGUGAAAGACCCUAUUGGUCUCUUUUGGCCCUCUAUAUAUAUUGCUCUCUCAGAGUGAGUAAUUUGUAAGAAUAGAGCUAAAAAGUUUGUAACUUUGUAACUUUGAGUUUUGUUUUACAAGGGGAAGGGGAAAAAAAGGGGGUCUUUUUGAAGGAAUAGUGUUUAGUACUAGAAAAAAGUUGAGAACUUUUUAAGAAAAAUGGAGAUGGGGAGUGAUGUGAUGGUGUCAAAAUUCAAGAGGAUUUGUGUGUUUUGUGGGAGUAGUCAAGGGAAGAAGAGUAGCUAUCAAGAUGCUGCUAUUGAGCUAGGAAAAGAAUUGGUAUUUCUUUUUCUUAAGUCAAAAAUGGAACUUCCCAUUUUGUUUUCUUGAUUUUUAGCUUUGGUUUCUUGGAAUACUAGGAUGUUGUAGUUUCUGACCUUUUUUUUUUGGGUUUUUGGGUAAAAUGUUUUUUUUUUUUGCUUUUUGCUCAUUUGGGGGUCAGUGUUUGUACACUCUUGGUAUGUAAAAAUGUAUUUGGAUUUUAGGAUAUUUGGGUCCAAAUCUUUUCAUGCAAAAUGUGAUGUUUCUUUGAGUUUUUUUCCAACAGAAAGUCCUGCAUGCAAUUCUUCUAUCUAUGUAGUUAGUGUGUGUGUAUGUAGUCAUGUUAUCUGCUUUACAUUUUCGUAAAAUCAAUGUUUCCUGUUAUUUUCAUAUACAGAGGUUUUGCAUCUAUUCCCCCCCACCCCCUUAUUGUACAAACUCUUGCAUUUAUGCCUCAUCAUCAUCUUGAUAUAUGCUAAUUAAAUAUACUACUUUAACAAGUAUAUUUGGUUUUUGGGGCAUGUUAUUUUCCAUUUUGAAUGUACUAAAAGUUUCUUGUUUCUUCAUAUUGAAGGUCUCAAGGAACAUUGAUUUGGUCUAUGGAGGAGGUAGUAUAGGCCUAAUGGGAUUGGUUUCACAAGCUGUUCAUGAUGGUGGUAGGCAUGUUAUUGGGUGAGAAACAAAGAAGAAAAAGAUACCUUUAUAUGCUCUAAUCACUCUGCUCUUAAAUUAAUGAUAAAAUAUUAGUACUUUUUUAACAUGAGGAAUUUAGUUAAUCCUCUUAAUUAUCACUAACUCCUACUCUAUGUUUUGUCAUGUUAUUGUCUGGCUGCAGAGUAAUUCCCAAGACACUCAUGCCUAGAGAGGUAUGUCUGUUGUUUUCUUGACAAGUCUUAGGCCUUUCUUGAUUUAUAUUAUAUUACUUAAAAAAUAAGAACCUUCAAUAGUAUAUUCUCAUGUGUUUAUGAGUUGAGACUUUGAGUUAGUUUCUUGUUAACACUAGUUUUGUCAUAAAUAUUGAUGUUUGUGCUUUCAUUUUCUUCUAAUUGCUUUCUGGGGUUCUGAAGGAACUGUUUAUUUCUUUGGUCCUUAUUGGCCUUAUCCAUAUAUCCCCAUAGUACUUUGGCAUCUGGCUUUUUGUUUGAUUUCCCCUUUUAUGAGUAGCAUGCUUUAUUCACUCUGUUGCUGCUGUUUAGUUCUUGUAUUUUUCUUUCUUGGCUGCUAGUGAGUAUCUGUACAUGCUAUGUUGCUCGGACUCUUCAAAAGUAGUGCAUUUUUGGAGUUAUCCUACACGACAGUUGCAGCAACAAUUUUGGAGAGUCGGAGCAACUUAGUGUACAUGUACAUGUAUAUAGUGUUUAGUUUUGUUUGUGUGUAUAUGUUUGGUGACUUUUCUACUAUUUCAAAAUGAAGAGUUUUGGGUGGAUUUAACUCUUUCUGAAAUGCUCAUCAUUGCUUCAGUGCAUUAAUAAGGCCACUACACUCCAUCAAGAACCUGUUUCUUCUCUGACCCUUUAACCCCCACCACCCCUUUUUUUUCUUCAUUUCUCCCAAGAAGAAGGGCACAUAUUUCAAGAAGUUCAAAAAAAAAAUGAAUUCAUAUUUUAUCCUUUUUGCACAGUUAACUGGUGAAACAGUAGGGGAAGUGAAGGCAGUUGCAGGUAUGCAUCAAAGGAAAGCAGAAAUGGCUAGGCACUCUGAUGCUUUUAUUGCCUUACCAGGUUGGUAUAAGCACUAUCAGUGCAAGUCUAAAUUUCACCCUUUGCACUCAAAUUCACAGGCAAAAUGCUUAUAUAAAAAGGACAUCAGGUGCUUUUAGUUUGCUAAUUUGGGCAUAAAUUCACCAUACAUCUUGUCUGCUUUGUUCAUUUGUGAGUUAUUGUAGUCAUAUUUUAGCUUAGUGUUCCUCACAUUUCCACAAUAACUUUUAAGAGAAGUAACAUCUAAUAUGCAUCAGUUCUUUCAAUGACUUUGUUUUAAUUUGUUUGUCGUAUGAUUUUGAUUUAACAUGGAGUUUAACAAAGUAAAAGAAACUUUUUAAUCUUGUGGCUUAAACAUGUCACGCGGAAAAUUAGAAUUAAAGAGUUGACAAAAAAGAAAAAGACAUUCAUUUUUAAACAAGACAAAAGUAGUAAGACAAACAAAUUAAAACGGAGAGAGUAUCACUUUUAGAUUUUUCAAGAUUUCUAUGGAUAUAAGUCCCAAGACAAGUUAUAGGUUUGCUCUGCCAAGAGGUGGAGCUAGAUUUUAAGCUUAUGGGUUAAGGAACUGUUUCCUCUUGGUAAAUGAGGGACAAUGUUGCUUGAAGUCUCCAUAAAUUUGCGGCACUUACGGUGUAUCCAACACACCUCCGUCGACAUUUUUGGAGAGUCCGAGCUAUAUGAAAUGUUAUAGAGUAUUCAAUAAGGCAGAGGAUAAAGUGAAAUACAGAAGAAUGUGAAUUCCUGAAAGCUACUGUAUGAAAAGAUAAAAAGAAUCAGUUGAAUUACAGGUUCUUUGGUUUGAUGUUUCUCACAAUCCCCAAAGACUCAUGAUUAGAGAAGCCUAUAUAGUUCAACCCCCUAGUUGUUGACCAAUCAACAUCUUGCACUGAAAAUUAAGACCUGUUUUUUCACUACUUAAAAUAUUACUAAACUGGUUCUGUGAUUUAUUCUUUUUCCUUAAAUGUUCACUGCCCUCCUGCAAGAAUCUUCCUCCAUCUCACUGAGAGAGAAGAAAGGAGAAAACUGUCACACUUUCACAAAAUUGUAAAUGCCAACUAGCUGCUGUACCUAACAAGGCAUCAUGCUCACUCUAUUCAAGGAAUUCUAAUUGUCCAAAAUAUUCAACUAGUCAUAUACUUGUUCUGGCUGCAUGUAAAUAAUUUUUUUUUUUCAGUGACAUUAUAUAGCCUGAGAACUUAGCAGAGGAUCAAGCCAUCCUAUUUGCUGAAGGAUGAGGCCAAAAUAAAUGCCAAAUACUUGGGCACAGCUAGUUUUCUGGCUCUACUGUUCAGGCAACAGAGUCAGUUUGAGAAAGUUGUGGGAAAUAAUUACUCCCUCCGUUUCAAUUUUUUUUGUCUUUUUUUGUUUUUAUUCCAUUUAAAAAGAACGGCUCUUUCCCCACUCUCUAAUUCUAACUUUCCACAUGACAUGUGUGUUUUGGUACUUUCUACUUAUGUUUAAGACCUCAUGAUUCUUAAACUUCGUGUCUAGUCAAAACCAACAAACAAAUUGAAACGGAGGACGUAUUAACUGGAAUUUCACCUUCUUUGCUAUUUGAUUUAACCAACCAAAGUUGUUUGGCAUUUACAUGUAAUUAGAUUGUUUUGGAAUUCAAACAGUGAAUAAGCUUUUCAUUGCAUCCAGGUGGUUAUGGCACACUUGAGGAGCUACUUGAAGUAAUUACCUGGGCGCAACUUGGCAUCCACGAUAAGCCGGUAUAUAUAUAUAAUGAUAUGUGUAACUUUUUUGUUUGUCUACUUUCUAGCUUGACAAAUUCAGAACUUAAAAGCUAUAUGCAUUGUACAAUUUUGCAGGUAGGAUUGCUGAAUGUGGAUGGAUAUUACAAUUCAUUAUUGUCAUUUAUUGACAAAGCUGUGGAGGAAGGCUUCAUCAGUCCCAAUGCUCGCCAAAUCAUCGUAUCUGCACCAACAGCAACGGAGCUGGUCGAGAAACUGGAGGUAACAUCUUAUAAGAGACAACCACAAUGGUCAUUCUUGAUGAAAAUUUUCUAUCUCCUGAACUUCUCUAUCUAACUAUUUUUUUCUUUCUUGCAAUUGCAGGAAUAUGUUCCUUGCCACGAAAGUGUUGCUUCGAAGUUGAACUGGGAGACAGAGCAGCUUGGCUACCCUCAAGUUCAAGAAAUUGCGCGGUGAAAACAAAAGGGAUUUGCAAGCAUAGAAAUGUGCAUUAGGAAUUGAAAAUACCAAACUGGAAGAAGCUAACAUGAAUGAAAUUCUUAAUUUUUGUUGUGUGGAGGGAUACCUUUUUUUUGUAAAUCAAACUAGAAAUGACAAACAGCAUAUGUCCCUAGUCCCUUCACAAGGAAAUGUCCUUAUUUACUACUAUAAGAUGUAAGUACUAAGAUGCAUAUGAACUUCCCUUUUAAUGUUAACUUACCAAGCUUUACUUUUUGCUCUUGUAUUUCUUGUUCUUUAUGAAAUAUUAUAUGUUCCUCUGUCCAAAGUUGUGGUUUAUUCCUGGUUUUCGAGCAUCCUUCUCGUUAAGCUCAUCGCCUGUUAUGGAGAAACAUAAACAAUAGGAACAGGUUGUUGAAUCCAAAAUGUUCAUAAGUUAGGUAAAUGUUGAAUUCUAGAAUUGCAUCAACAAUGGGAAAGACUUGUAACAGAGUUAGUGUUGUGGGGUUCUCUUUGUUGUUUCAACCAUACACCAACAACAUGAAGAUUGAUCAUCCAGUUGUCAAAAGAAGGGCCUGUGACAAUCCUGAUUGAAUCUUGGUGAAAAUUAUUGAAGACAAACUGAAAAAUAUGAAAGGGGACUUAGAUUAAUGGUAAAGUUAUCUUCGAUCUAUAGAUUAUGAGUUUUGAGCUGUAAAAUUAGUCAUUAAUACUCGUGUCAAGGUAGAUUGCCUACGCCACACUUUCUUUUGGUGCAUCUCUUUCUUGUAUUGUCUCUGUGUGAGAGAUGUGAAAUUAAUCACUAAUGAUACUUAGGUCAAGUAGGCUUCCUGUUCCAUGCCUCCUUUGGGUGCAACUCUUUCUCAGAUUGUCUCUGUGUGGCCUAUAGGCUACCUACUUAAAUUUUCUAUAUCACAUCAGAUCUUGUUAGAACACAUGAUACUUUGUGCACCAAACUAUACUUUUAAAUUGAAAUAAAAGUUGGUAACAACUCUUGUCAUUGCACUCAUUGGUGGGAUAACAUCAUUGCUCAAAUGGUAAAAUGUCAUCUCUGUACUUUCCUUUUUGAUUAGGGAUACUUUGAUAUAAUUUAUUCCUUUGUACACAUUCACAUUGUAAGGUCAACAAGAGUUAACUAAUCAAAUGAGUCCAUUUUUCAUGUCCUUAUCUAUUUUCUUUGUCUAGUAUCUAUACUGCAUUGACAAUGAAACAUAUUUCCUCUAGCUAGGACCAACUAAUAAAUUCAAGAAUAUUAAACUGUCUUAAAAGGAAAAUUAACAAAACUUUCAUGAAGUAUAAUUGGAGAUGAGGGACCAUUGGGGCCAGACACAAAGCACAUGGUACGAGUUCAUCUGAAAUCAGUACCUUAGACUCAAAUUAUGUAUCUGUCAAAAAAUCACUAAUAACAAAUUCCGAAUAUAGUAAAUCAAAAGUAAUAAAAGUAAAAAAAACAAACCUAAAGUACUACCUGAACUAUCGACUAUUAUUCAUCAAAACACCCUUCAAAUAUCAAUUGUUCCCUUCUCCUACCUGAAUGGUGGUGAAGUUUCAGGUAGAAAACUCACACACCUAAUAGUUAAAAUGUGUUUUGAUAAAUAGUAUAGUUCAAGUUUUGAAACUCGAAAACCUGGGAUAUUUCAAACGUAUUUCUUAUUAUUAACUCUCAAUCGAAUAAGUUGUAGUAGAAUCUCGAAUUUGAAUCACGUAAAAUUUAAAUUCUGAAUUCGACUGGUCGAUGGACCAUGUCCUCUAACAGAAGCACAUGUUUCUAACUGGUAUUCAAGAUUGAUGUUUGCUGUUAAGGUUUCAACUAUUAACACAAAGUUAUGAUCCACUAUACCACUACCAACGACAGGUAACAGAAAGGGCCCCUCUGCUUCUUGUUCCGGGGAACAAUAGGGUGAGGUCAGGUCCCGUUGCGGACGAAUGAGGGGUUAACAAGUGUCAUGUAAAGAAAAUCUUAUGAAUGAGAGAUCGACACAUGUCAUAUAGAAGGAAAACCAUGAAUUUAAAAUAUUUGGAUUCAAAAUUAGUAUAAUUUUGUUACAUAUGCACAAUUUUAAUUUUAAUUUUUGCAAAUGUAUAUAAUUAGUGUUGAGAUUUUUUUAAUCUAAGGUACUUUCUUGAUGUUUCUAGUUAAAUCGAUUUUCUCAUAGUUCUUAUAAAAUCUAUCAGCUAGAGUUUAUUAAAUAUUUGACGAAAAUCAAAAGUGUUAGGUUUUGAUAAAACAUAGAGGAUCAAAACCAUUCUUGUCAUUUUCUCGUCGAGAAAAAAAAUAACAAGUGUAAUUAAAAUUACUGAACGUGUUCUAGAUCCGCCUCUGAUAAAAACUAUGGCUAAAUAGAUACGUAAGCAAGUAAAGGAGAGCAUGUGGACUAGUUGAUUAUUCUAGACAAAAUGAUAGCCUCAUGUUGGUCCCAAAUUUCACUUCAUAUCAUGUACUAGUGAACCACACUUGGUAAUGCUUAACUGGCUAUAGUUGGAGGAAUAUGUAUACAAGGUGCCAAAAGGAAGUUGAACAGUCAAUUUCUCUGUCUCUUAUUUUUGGUUUUGCUUUAAUUAUGUAAAGUUCAUAUAAGGGAAUGUACUCUUGAAAUGAUGUUGAAACAUAGGAAAGGUUGAAAAAAAAAAAAAAAGUAUCCACUUCCAAUAUCAAUGGGUAGUGGUGUUGUGUGAAAUUUUCUCUUUUGGGAUAAUUGUUUAGGAAAUGAUCAUCUUCAAAAUAGACGAAGAAGUUACGUCAAUCAAAAGAAUAUGUCCAAAACUUCUAAGUUUACUAUGUGUUUCCUCAUUUCUAAGGUUCAAACUCAAGAUGAGUAAAAUUAGAAAAUAAUCACUUAUUAACCUGUGUAACUGAAAAAUGAAAAAUCACUCUUGAAAUGAUGUUGAAACAUAGGAAAGGUUGGAGGAAAAAAAGGUACCACUUCCAAUAUCAACGGGUAGUGUUGUUUCUACUGAAAGGAGGGUCAAAAACAAUUCGGAGUGUUAUUUCUAAGUUCGAAAUUUAUAGAUAAGGACGGAAAAAUCCAUCUCAUUACACCCUUUGAUGGUCAGAGAGCUUGUUACACGUCCCAAUUAAUGUGUACCAUUGAUUUGUCUCAUAAGUGGAUGUUAUUCUUUCUCUCCCUUAUCUCAAAUUACUUGUCAUGUUUUACUUUACAAGAAACAAACUAUAUGCUUUAAUGGAUAGUGUUUUUAUAAAGGGAGGGCCAAAAAGUACUAUCUAGAGUGUUAUUCUACAUUCGAUUUCUACAUAAGGGCGGAGAAAUCCGUCUCACUACGCCCUUUGAUGGUCAGAGAGAUUGUUACACGUCCCUUUAACUUGAACCAUUGAUUUGUCUCAAAAGUGGAUGUUAUUCUUUUGCUUCCCCGUCUCAAAUUACUUGUCAUGAUUAUUUUUUUCAAGAGUCAAACUAUAUAAAUUUUGAUGAACUUUUUAAUAUGCAUUUUUUCAUUAUAGUGAUAUAAGAAAAAAACAAUCUUACUCAUGAUAAUAUUCAUUUAGCUUUCAAAUAAUUUAAUUUUAAAAUAUGAAGCUAAUCUAAUUUAAUUUCGCUUCAAAUAUUAAUUAAAUUAGCUCUAAAAAAUAAAACAUGACAAAUGACACAUAUUUUAGGACAUAUGGAGUAUAAGGCUAAGUGUGCCAAUUUUAUAAAAAAGGUUUAAUUUGGGGAAGGAAUAAUUAUUAUUACAUAUAUAACAACUAAAAUUGACAGCUUAUAUAAAUGUAAAACAGUAGAAAAAUUGUAUUUCCAUAGUGUUUUUAUAGACAAACAUAAAAUUCUUCAGAGGAACACAAUCAUUUGAAAUUAUACUUUGGAUAAGUUGGUGAACUGAACAAUUAUUUUUGGUGCAGCUCAUCUCUGUUCAAUUUGAUUUGACUGGCCACUAUUUUUGACUCGAAAUAUAGCUAUUUAUAUAAAUAAGUUGAUAAAUUUUUAAUAAACAUUAAAUUCUAAAUUCAUAAUUCCAAAAGCGGGAACACUCAUGACCUUCAAAAGUUGAACCUUUAAAAUUUAAAUCUUAAAUUCACAUCGAACUUUAUUUUAGGCCAAAUACAUAUGCAAACCCUUAAACUUGUUCCUAAAUUUCAUUUUGGCACUCCAACUCAAUCUUGUUCCAUUUUAACCCUUUAACUCCAAUUUUUAUGUUUCAUUUUGGCACUUCUAAGUGAUGUAGCAGAGUGUGUGCAUCACACUUUCUCUAAGAGAGUGAAAGACAAAAGAAAAGUAUUUUUUUUUAAAUAAUAAAAGAUAACCCUUCAACUCUAUUUUUUUAUGUACCAUUUAAACACAAAAUAUUAAUUUUAUGAUUUCUUUAUUUCUAUAUAUGUUCUUCAACUGCAAUUUUGCAUUUUAAAAAUCGUCGUUCAUCCGUUAGUUAUUGUAAAAAAUUCAAAUUGACGGAUGAUCAUUGAUUUUUUUUAUUUAAAAAAGUAACAAUUUAUUUUUGAGAGUUUCCCUGUAUUUUGCGUGAAAAAAUAACCGACGAAAGUGCGUCGAUUUUCUUUCUUAAGAAAAUCAAUGGCAACCCAACGAAGUCUAUCGAGUUUCAACAUUUUUUUAUAGUGUUAUUAAUUAGCAAUGAUCAUGAUUUUUUUUUACUCGUAUUUAGUUGAAUGAAAAAUUAGAAAGCUGGUAUUUGAGUUAGUCCAAAUAGAUUAGAUAUGAAAAUAAAAUAUGUGGUGUUAUUUAAUUUAAUUAAUUGUUUUAAAAAGAAAAUCAACACACUUUUGUCGAUUAUUUUUCACACAAUAAUGUACUCUAAAAAAUUUUAAAAAAAAUUGAUGUUCAUCCAUUAUUUUAUUUUUAAAAAAAAAGAUAUGACGUUGAUUUUUAAAAUGAAAAAGUGGAAAUGAAGAACAUAAAUAAAAAUGAAGAAACUUAUCAUUAAAAAUACAACAUAAAAAAUUUCUUCAUUUUUAUUUACGUUCUUCAUUUUAAAAAUCCACGUAAUAUCUUUUCUUUUUUUAAAAAUAAAAUAAUGGAUGAACAUCAAUUUUUUUUAAAAAAUUUACGGGAAACUCUCAAAAGAAAUUGUUACUUUAAAAAAAAUAAUCAAAGAUCAUCCAUUAAUUUGAUUUUUUACAAUAACUAACGGAUGUACGACGAUUUUUAAAAUGCAAAACUGCAGUUGAAGAGCAUAUAUAGAAAUAAAGAAAUCAUAAAAUUAUUAUUUUGUGUUUAAAUGGUACAUAAAAAAAAUAAGAGUUGAAGGGUUAACCUUUUAUUAUUUUUUAAAAAAAUACUUUUUUUUGUAUUUCACUCUCUUAGAGAAAGUGUGAUGCACACACUCUACCACAUCACUUAGAAGUGCUAAAAUGAAACAUAAAAAUUAGAGUUAAAGAAUUAAAAUGGAACAAGAUUGAGUUGGAGUGCCAAAAUGAAAUUUAGGAACAAAUUUAAAGUUCUGCAUAUUGUUUAGCCUUUGUUUUAUGAAGAAAAAAAAGGCAGCUAAUUAAAGAUAAAAAGGGGAAUAAAGAAAAUACAAGAAGGAUGAAUUUUGCCUUCCAUAAUAAUGAUAAUAAUUCCUCAAGAGACAAAACUUUUUAUAGCUGGCAUAUAGAACUUCUGUUCCCCAUUUAGCUUUCUAAUUUUAUUUUUUUUCUUUUUGUGAUUUUUUUGAUAAUCAAAAUGCCUAUAAUGUUUAGGUUGAAAUUUUUUUGACCUUUGAAAAAAAAAGUGUUUUAUUAAGAUUGGGAUCAUCUUACAUUAUUUAAAGUUUAGCCCCACCUUGUAAUCGCUUCAGAUAUAUGAGUUUCGAGUUAUAAAAUUCAAAUUGUUGAGGGUCUUAAAUUAGCAAUUAUUAAAAUCUAACUUCAUAUUUGAUAUUUAAAUUUUGUAUUUAAGCUUUGCCUCAUAUUUGAGAUAUCAAGUUUGUAUUUAGGCUUUGGCAAAGCUUAACUUUUUAAAUUAGAACUUCGAUUUAUCAAAUUUCAGAUAUUUAAAUAUGAAGUUAGGUUUUAACGAACCCAACUUUAGACAUCGAAGAAGAAGAAGAAUAUCAGUACUUAGUAGCAACAAGUUCAAUCUGAAACAUGGCUAAACUUUUAAAUAGCUUUGAAAAUGAAUUAUAUUUUAAAUUAACGCUGCUACAAACAUGAAAUUUGUUUGAGGUAAUUAUUUAGUAAACAAUUUUUUUUUUUUAAAUUAUUACUCUUGCAACUUAUGAACCUUUUAGAUUACGGUUUUAAAAUAUUUUUUGAACAAACAGAAUAUUACAUGAUAGUAAUAAUUUAUUGUGAUGUGGAGCAAUCGCAAACAUUAUAACCGAAUCUAAUAUAGUCCAAAAGGGUAAUUUUUCAAAUACUAUAUUUGUACAAUUUUUUAAGAAAUAGAGGAAAAAUUUAAAUGAUGGCCUAAAAAAUAAGUAUAACUUACAUAAAUAUCAUAGUGUAAAAUCUGAAUUACCUUUUAUCCCUAUUAUUUUUAUAAUUACAUAAAUCUCAUAUUUUUUAGGCAUUUUGGAUACAUAAUUAAGGAUCCGGAUACAUUAUUGUUGAUACAUUAUGUAUCAAUCUGUUGCACUUAUUAAGGGGAAAAAACUGAAAAAUCAAAUUAAGAUCUCAUAGUAUCCAUUUGUUGCACUAAUUAAGGGGAAAAAAAAGAGCUGAAAAUCAAAUUAAGAUUCCAUAAAUUAUUUUAUUCCAUUCCAAAUUAUUGUCAAGAAUUCAAAAUCCUAUGGUGUAACUAACCAAAAAAAUUCAAAAAUUAAAUUUAUUCUUCUUGUUCAUCGUUCUCUCUGUUUCAUAAAAACUUUUGUCGAAAUUUUGGAUAAGCAAGGUGAGUUAUGAAGGAUACAAAAGUGAUGGAAUUGUUGUUGGACAAACGAUUUCUUUUGUGAAUCUUCAAGUUCAUCGAAUAUCCUUUCGAUUUUGAUUCAAGAUUGUCGAAAAUUUUGAGAUUCAAAAAUUCUUCUCCAGUUCAUUGAAUAUCCUUUCCGUUUUUGAUUCAAAAUUGUUGAAAAUUUUUGAGUUUCAAAAUUAUUGAAAAUUUUUGAGUUUCAAAAUUAUUCUCCUUAGUUCAUUGAAGAUUCUUUCAAUUUUGAUUCAAAAUUAUCAAAUUUUUUGAGAAGAUACAUCAUGAAGAUCCUUUCAAUUUAAAUUGAUAAGUGUUGUAUUCCUACUAGAUUAAUUAAAUAAGAAAGUGUUGCCCAUAAGAUUUUAGGUUUGAGAUCGAUACAUUAUUAUUUGGUAAUUGUCAUGUAUCAGAUACAUUUAGUAUAAAUUUGAAUUUACGUAUCAUAACUAAAAAAUUAGUGUAUAAUACAUUAUUAUUUAUGUAUCUUAUUUUGUUUGAGAUCAUGAACAUCCUUUCAAUUUAAAUUGAUAAAUGUUGUAUUUCUACUAAAUACAUUAAAUAAGAAAGUGUUGCCCAUAAGAUUUUAAGUUUGAGAUCGAUACAUUAAUGUUUGGUAAUUGUUAUGUAUCAGAUACAUUUAGUAUAAAUUUGAAUUUACGUAUCAUAACUAAAAAAUUAGUGUAUAAUACAUUAUUAUUUAUGUAUCUUAUUUUGUUUGAGAAAUACUAUAUUUUAAAAUAAAAAAAAGUAUAUUAUACAUGUAAUUGUUUCAAAAUAGCUUCUUUUUGUAUGUGUGAUAAAUAACACAAAGUUUAUGUAUCAAGUACAUUUAUAUUGAACAUGAUAAACACUAAUCAAAGAUUCAACAACAUUAGAGUUAUGUAUCAAUACCUUAAAUAUGAACAUUAUACAUUGCAUAAAACAAAGGUUAUUGUAGCAGUGAUGUAUCAGAUCAAUGAUAACACUAACAAAGACUAAUUUAAGACUCAUAAUAAACGAGAUACAUAAAAAAUCNNNNNNNNNNNNNNNNNNNNNNNNNNNNNNNNNNNNNNNNNNNNNNNNNNNNNNNNNNNNNNNNNNNNNNNNNNNNNNNNNNNNNNNNNNNNNNNNNNNNNNNNNNNNNNNNNNNNNNNNNNNNNNNNNNNNNNNNNNNNNNNNNNNNNNNNNNNNNNNNNNNNNNNNNNNNNNNNNNNNNNNNNNNNNNNNNNNNNNNNNNNNNNNNNNNNNNNNNNNNNNNNNNNNNNNNNNNNNNNNNNNNNNNNNNNNNNNNNNNNNNNNNNNNNNNNNNNNNNNNNNNNNNNNNNNNNNNNNNNNNNNNNNNNNNNNNNNNNNNNNNNNNNNNNNNNNNNNNNNNNNNNNNNNNNNNNNNNNNNNNNNNNNNNNNNNNNNNNNNNNNNNNNNNNNNNNNNNNNNNNNNNUGAAAAUCAAAAUGAAUUUGAAAUUUGUAACUGCUAAAGAAUUGGAGAGAAUUUAGGGAUAAACUGGAGGAGUGAUAUGGGGAGUGGGAAACGUGGGUGUAGGCUGAAAAUAGGAGUGAAAUAUUUAUGUAUCCGGAAGAUUUUAUGAAUUGGGGGAAUAAAGAGAUUUUUGAAAUUUUUUAAAAAGGUAGGGAUAAAUGGAUAUUAAGGUAAGUAAAUGUGUGUAUAUAAGUAAUUUUCCCAAAAAAGAAACAUUUGCAUAAAUCAGUGGCUACCUGGUGUCAUUUCAGCCCAAUUUAACAAGGCCUAAAAUGAGUCCACUAAGUCUCAGCCCAAUUUCUAGACACAGUUGUGGAGAAUAUAGCAACAACUUCAAUUGGGCCAAUUUCUUAUCUUAGAUGUAAAAAAUGUUAGGCCGUUCAUUUCAUUGAUUUAACUUCACUUAAUUUACGAUCCAUCAUAGAGGUCGGGGCAAAUGAAGGUUUAAUUAGUAGACAACAAGCGAACUGCAAGAACUUACUCAUAUCAUAAUGAUUAGAAAUCAAGCGGAACUUGAACUUGAAGAAACUUGCCUCUAUCACGGAAAGUUGUUGCAUGCUAACCCCUUUUAUAGGGUUUCAAACUGAAUCCGAGUUUGUUGCUUCAACCAUUACCAAACUAAUGUACUUAAUUUAGAAUCCCCAACAACUCUAUUUACAUAACACAUACCUUGUAUUUGUACUAAAAAAUCCAUUCAACGUAUAUAAAUAAUCUAUCAAGAAACUUUCUUUUUAUAGAAUCUAGAAUCCAUAAACUCUGACUAACUAUUAUGGUCAGAUAUCUUUAUAAUAACCUUCCUCUAUAACAACAUUUCAUGUUGUGUUAUAUUAUAUGUUUUCUGUAUUUCGCUAUAACAUCCAAAAGGAAUAAACGACGUUGUUAUAGAGAGUUUCGAUGAGAACAAAAGGAUCAAUGCUAAAUAUUUGAGAAUCCAAAUAUUGGCAAAUGUCAAAAUGACCAAACAAAAAAAAACUUCAAAUCAUUCAUAUUCAGAAACUCCAAAAACAGUUUUAUUAGUGUUUAAAACUUAGGGAACUUUUGGUGGAACAGUUUGACAUGUUGCAUCUUCACUAGGCUUUCCUGAUUUUGAAUUACACUGAGAUUUUCUCCUGAAAAAUAUAUUCCAUCUCCUCUUUGAUUUCACCAUCUUUUGGAACUCUUCCUUCAUGUUGUUACACUCUUUUUCAAGGUCGGAAACACGUUCCCUCAUGUCCUCAACACUCCUUCCUCUGCCUCGUGUAGCAUUGUCCGCGUGUUGUCCAAUUGCUCCGCUAACAUUUUGGGAGUUUUCAGACACAAAGAACCAUCCAGAGAUUGAUGUACGUAGACGAAGCUGUUCAAAAAACAGGACUUGAACAAUCACCCUUAGGGGAAGCCUCUCGUUUUGAGCAGCGUGCGUGCUGGCCUCUAACGACAGCUUCUGGCAAUUCAUUAGUCUGCACAUUUGCUCUCUUUCAAUGUCUGUCAGCCAAGGAUGUGCCUACAUUUGAAACCUUUAAAUUCAACGAAGGGAGUAGUUUCUAUCUUAUGUUUAUCAUCCAGAUCGUCCAGAAGUAGUGCAUUUCAACUAUAUAUUUGAAUAGUCCGAGCAACAUUGCUCUGAACUAUCAACCUUUAUAAAACAAAACAGAGUAAAAUGGUUUAUAUACAUUUAAGUGUUACCUUCAAAUAUAUAUCGAUUGCACGAUAGAUACCAUCAGAGACUGGCCUAGCAUAUUCUGGGAUUGCAGAAGCAAGAGUCUGAAAUUUCGGAAACUUGAAAUUAACAUCAGGGGAAACCUCAGCAAGAUACGAAUCCACGAGAUUAGCCACUCUUGUUAUGGAAGCCAAAGACUGACUACCUUCAAUCAACUGACUCUCUUCCAUUAUACAUGGAGAUACGGCUGCUGAAGCCUGAUCUAUUAACAAGAAAUGAUCUAGAAUACGCUGAAAACAGUCGAUAUCAUAUAAAGUUUCAACUGUGUAACCGAUAUUUGGUAUGAGCAGAUCAUCAAGUAUAGCCUGGUCUAACUGCAACCCUACUCUUCCUUCCAAAUUUACUUGACAAGAUGGACUAGCCUGCAACAUCAUAGCAGUACGUAGCAGCCUGAGGAGAAAUCUAGUCUCCGUUACACCUUUCUGUUUUGGUAACAACUCAACGAUCUCUUCUAAAAGCACCCUUUGAUCAGCCUCAGACGGAGUAGAACCUGAUUUAGCAUGAGUAACGUCCUUAAAGCUCGAUUGCCUAUUCAUUAAAGGAACAUAUUUCUUUGCAUAAAACACGAGUGCACCGGAUAUGUUCCCAGCCCUCAUUCCUCCAGCUUCAACAGCCUGAAUCAAACGUUUGUACAAAGGUAAGCUGAGGAAGGACACAUCCUCGUACCACCAAUCAUCAGUCAUCGGUUGUGUCUUAGUCCCCGUGCUUAUACCAUUCCAUACAUCAUGAACACUAUCGUUACCAUUCUCCAUCACAGGCCAAUUAAGCAACUUAGAAUCGCUACAAGCUUUCAUCGCUAAUGAAUUUAUGCAUCGCGACACAAUGUGAAGCUCUUCAGCAUAUGACAACACUUCUUCACAAGUUUCUAAUGCUUUAAUUGUAUCUGUCCAAUUACUAAAAACAUCAUUGAGAAAAGACUCGGUUUGUGAUACAAGAUUUUCUUCACCAUAUUCAUUUGUCAUUUGCAAAUACUCAGAUGCACAUCUAAGGGCAACUACAUUUAGAGGAGUAAGUUCAAAUCUAACACCAUAACAAAACUUGGCUACUAACUCAAAUGCUUUAGCUCCACCAGGUAUGUCACUAAGCUGAAGAACGCAUAACGAUCCAUCGUCUUUUCUUGAUUCAUUCAUCAGCUUUUCUAGUAGUCCACUUCUUGAAAGCAAAGGGAACUGCAACACAACUAUAUAUCAUCUAACAUCUUGUAUAUAGUGUUCUUUAAAAAGCAACUCCUUGGGGCGCAGUGGGGGAGACAGGAUUUUCAUCGAGGGACUUCAACAUUUACUAUAAUAUAUAUAUAAACAAGUGUGAUUUUCCGCGAAAAGGGGUUGGAAUAAACCCCCUUUCGCGCACUUCUUUGAAGUAAAGUCAACAAUAGGAUGGUCUAGAUUUUGUUUUUUUGAACAUUAUCUUGUAUACAGUGUUUUUAAAAGCAAAAAACAGCAACAACAAAGGUCCUUAGGGAUUGAAGCAAAAACCAAGAGUGAAGCGCGUGCUUCUUUGAAGCUAUAUUGCUCUGACUCUUCCAAAACUUCGAUCGGUUCAUGUCAGAUCCUCCAAAAGUAGUGCAUUUUUUGGACGAUCUGAAAAACGUUCGACAACAUUUUUGGAGAGUCUCUAAGCAACAUAGCUUUGAAGUAAAGCCCACAAUCAUAGAAAAAAUUAGAAAUAUACUAAACUUGUACAUAUGAAUGUAUGGUUAAAAAUACUAAAAUAAUUAUUGUAAAAGCUAAAAUAAAUACUGAAUUGAACCUUAGAUUUAAAAAAAUCAUAACAAGGAGUGAAAAAAAGAGUAUACCUUAUGUAGAUAAAAUGACAUUUCUCCAAUUUCAAUUGUAAUGUCACUUGGAAGUCCUGACUUACAUCGCCUGAACAAAGUCCAAAUAAAUUCACUAUUGAAGACAAGUUACAUAAACAAAACCAAAAUGACCAGCACGGUGCACAAUGCAAGUAUUAGUGACUGUUUCCACGAUCAAACUUGUGACCUAUAUGUCAUAUGAAAACAACUUUACUGUUGCUCCAAGGCUACCUUCGAUUGAAUUAAAUGAAUGUCAAAUAAUGUUGAGGUAAAAAUCAUUAAUUCAUUCCCAAUGUCUUGUCCCAUGUUAUGCAACAUUAUGAAAAUUAAGUAUUUUUUAACUCUCAUACACUAAAUUCUUCACAUAAAAUGGGACGGAAGGAAUCAUACCCUAUGGAUAUAAGCUCAUUUAUAACACAAGACGAACACUUCUCUCAAAUUGAUUUCUCAUAUAUAUAAUCACUCAACCAGUAGUUAUUCAGAAAAAUGACAUUCUGAGAUAACAACCAUCAACUGAGCAAUCAUAUGAGAAAUCAACUAUAAAAUCGUAAAACUUAAACAUAAAAACAUAAGAACUUGUCAAUUUUUUUCUUCUAAAUUAUGUGAAUAAAAGAACUAACAAAAUUAUACAAAUAAAAAAGAAUUACCAAGCUUGACCUUCACAACAGAAGGCUUCAGAUUUAGAACCAAGCUUCAAAAGAGCCAUUAAUUUAAUCUUUUUUCUGCUAAGAAUAUAAUUACACUAAUUAUAAGUCAUAUAUAGAAAGAGUACUACUUUGCUUUCCUUGCAUAAAAAAAGAACACAAACAAUACACUAAAAAUUACAUAUAUAUAUAAGGAAACAAGAAUUUCAGUAUUUACUGUAGUUAUUUUAAGUAACUAUGAAGUUUUAUCCUUUUUAUUUAUUUAUUUUUAAUUUUUUUAUUUCACCAUAAUUUUAAGUGAGUACCUAGUCUAAAGGGAUUUUUUUUUGUUACAACUGUCCUACCACUCCCCCAUAAUACUCGCUCAGUGUGGAUUUAGUCUACUAAAUUAGCUAUUUUGGUAACCCGCUCGAUCCAUCCAAGGGUUAUAUGGGUCGGAUCGUGAUGUUUGUUACUAAUGAGUUCAACUCAAUCGAUUACGAUGAGAUAGUGUAACCAAAUGGAUCAAUAUUUAUCGAAUUAAAAAAUAUUUAUAAAAUUAUGUUACUUACUAUUUAGGAUAAUUUAGUGCAUAAAGCAUCUGGUAUUAGCUAGAGGUUUCGGGUUACUUUUUCAGGGAUAUUAUGUAUCCGGUUUGUUUUACUUUUUCAGGGAUUAAUGUAAUUACAAAUUAAAUAGGGAUAUAUUGUAAUUUCAUAUAAUACAGUAAAAAAAAGAGUAUCUUUUUUCUUUGGUUGAAUACUUUUUGUUCACUUUUAUUUGUCCAUUUUAAAUUCCGCAUGUCCCUUAAGAGAUAAGAAUAAUAUAACAUUUUAGCAUUACUACUAAAAAAUCAUAAUUUUUUCCAUUGAAAAAUGUUUAAUGGUUAGUUUCUCAUAUAUUUUGAUUGAAUCGGUAAAAAAAAAUAAAAAAAAUUGUGUUUUCAGUCGGAAUCUAUUUCCCAUCAUGCGUCUUACCAGUUCCCAGUGAGUUGGUUUGGUGAGAAAUGAGUGGGGAAAAAAUCAUGUUUGAUUGUAUAAACUUUUCACUGAUUCGUGCGGGAAAAAACAUUUGUUUCUAGUAGUGCACAAUAUCCAUAUCAAUUGAUAUAUAGUCUUAGAUCUUGAGAAACAAUUUCGAGAGUGAAUAAAUAAUGUUGAGUGUAAAACAUGAAAAGAAAAAUAUGUUUAUUUCUUAAACUGUUAAAAGUGACAAGUAAAAAGGUAGAUCAAUUUUUAAUAUAGUAGACAAAUAAAAGUGAACGGCGUGAAAUAACCAAGUUGAAAUAUCCAUAAAAAUCAGUGAAAUAAACAAGAAAUAUUCAUGUUAAAAUUUGGGAUAAGGGUCUGAAAAAUACCCUAAGUUUGGUCGGAUUUGCUGUUGCGAUACUAAACUUUCACGAGGACCUAUUAUCUCCCUAGACUAUUUAAUACCGUAUUUUAAACAUAUAUAUUUGCCCACGUGGACAUAAAAAAUAAUGCAAAAUUAUAAAUAGUAAUGUGUCCACGUGUGCACAUAUAUACCUUUAAAAUACACUAUUAAAUAGUUCAGGGGGUAAAAAAUAACGUAUUAAAUAGUGUAGGGAGGUAAUAGAUCCUUAUGAAAGUUUAGUAUCGCAACAGCAAAUCCGACCAAAGUUGGGAUAUUUUUCAGACCUUUAUCCCUUAAAAUUUUAGGAAUCCCAUAUAAGGAGCAAAUUACAUCUUAUCCCUACUCUUUUUCAAUUUACAAAAAUUCUCUUAAAUUGUUGUCAUCCGGAUACGUCACAUUUGAUACAUUAUACAACUAGUUUGUUGAGAUUAAAAAGGAAAUUAAAUAUAAAAUUAAAUGUCAGUUCCCCAAAUCAUGAUGUCAAUCUCUCCAAAAUAACAGCUUCAAACAAUUCAAAUUUCAAAUUUUCUUCUCUCAAAUCUCGCACAAAUUGUAACAGAUUAAAAAAAAAGUCGACAAUUAUAUAUAGUUAUGUACAAUAUACAAAAAGAUGAAUGUGAAUAUGGUAUGCAUUGAUUUAUUUAUAAAAUAGUGUUGCAGAUACUUAACAACAUGUGAUACAUCACAACAUCUGAUACAUAACUAUGUUAUACACAUAACAAAGUUAUAUGUCAUAUUCAUAACUAUGAAUAUGAUACAAACUGAUUUUGUUAUAAAAUAUUAGUAUUUAUGUAUCAACAAUUAUAUGUGAUAGUGUCUAUAGAUAGAUAGCCUUCUACUAGUUGAAUAAGGCUGGGUGUAUAUAUCAGUAGUAAAAGAUAACGAAAUUUGUAAUAGUUGUGUAUCCAAUAUGUAACUAUGAACAAGGUACAUACUAAUUUGUCUUUCAACAAAUUAGGAUUAUGUAUCAAAACUAAUAUUUGAAAACAAUAUAUUGUACAUGAUAAAAUUGUAAUGUAUCAUAAAGGUGAAAUAAGCGAAUUAUACAUUAAUUUAAGAAUCAAAAUCAACUAGAUACAUUAAAAGAUCGGGUGACAACAAAAAAAAUUUAAAAAAAUCAACAAUUUGAUCUUCUAAAAGCAAAAAAAUAAAAUGAUGAAGAAAUUCUUCCACACUUUCUCUUUUGCUCCGUAUCAACUCUUGUAGCUAUUUUCACUUUCAACAAUGACGUCACCCAUGGAUCUCGACCCAAAGCCCUUACCAAAGCCACCAAUAACUCUUGAUAAAAUUGUAAUGUAUCAUAAUGUUGAAACGAAUGUGUUAUACAUUAAUUUAAGAAACAAAAACAACUAGAACAUUAAAAAAAUGAACACAUAUGUAACAAAAAAGAUGAACAACAAGAUAUCGAAAAAUAAGUCAACAAUCUAAUUUGGUGAAAGAAAAACAAUGAAGAAUAAAUCCUUCUAGACUUUUUCUUUUGCUCUGUAUCAAUUCUCGUAGUUUUUUUUUUGACUCUCAACAAUGGCAUCACUAUGGAUUUCGACCCAAAGCCCUUACUGGAGCCACCAACAACUCGACCUUUUCCUCCCUUUUUUGGGCGUUUUUUUCCCAAUCGAUUUUGAAGUUGAAGAUGCAUCCUUCAUCGACUAAAUCUAUAGAUGAAAAUGCUAAAAAAUAAAAAUAAAGUUGAUACAUGAUGAAGUGGAAAAAAAAAUUGAUGAAGAAGAACUACCUCUUCAAUAACUUGCAAUCAUAUAUCAGAAAGAGAAAAUAUUUGAAAUUCAAAAACAUAGUGAUGGAUAUAAGUGGUGAUACCAUGGAGGUGGUUUUAGGCAUGAAAAAAAAAAGAAAAAAAAACUUGAGGUGAUAGUUUACAGUGAUGUAUUCGGAAAAGUGAGAAAAAAUGUGAAAACGGAAAUUUUUGUAAUUUUUUAGAAUGAUAGAGAAUAAAAAAAAAAAUAGGGCAAAAAAAUGUAUAGUUAGAUAAUUUUUCCUUUUAAAAAAAAAGAAGUUUUGGGCCUGGAUUUCCAAAGUUUGGGCCUCACACUAUUUGAGCUAAAAGAUGGACCUAUUCCACUACCAAAAUUGGACCAAUUGUCCAACUACAUAUACAUUUUUCAAUAUAAUUUUAUUUUCUCACAAUAAAUAUGCUCCACAUAUAUCUUUUUCAUAACUUAAAAUAAAAUAUCUUAACUAAUACUUAAUUAGUUUUGAUAUGAUUUGAAGUUACAAGGAAAUCAUGCAGUAGUUGAAUAAAUCAUGUAAUGAUGUCAUUUACACAGCAAACAUAAAUUCUUGAUGACAAAAUCAUUAAUUGUUUUAAUUUAGGCCACAACUACUAAUUAAUAAACAAAGUCUUCAUUCUACUCGUUUUCUUUAAAUUGAUUUUGCAAAACAUGGGUCCAUUCCACGUAUUCUAUACGUGUCUAUAAAUUGCAUUUUCCACCAUCUUUGCUUCAUUUUUUAUUUUAUUUUUGUGGUUUUGCUUAUAGAGAAAAAACUCAAAAUAGUCUCUUAUAUUUGGACUCAGAAUUAAAAGAAGUUUCUUAUACUUUAAUUUGUAGCAUUAAUAAUCCUUUACACAAUAUUGAUAUACUUUCGGAUGUUUUACACAAAUAGCUGGCCUAAUUUAUUAUUUAUUUUUUCUAGUCUAUAUAUAUACACACCAUUAUCUUUGUUUUUGUUGAUGGGCAACUAUUUAGGUCGAUUCUUUUAAAUUUGUAACUAUACACUAAAACUAAUGGAACUUAGACUCACAUAACUCUUUGUUUAUAGUUUAUAAGUUCAAAAUAAUUCCUUUUGAGUUAAGUUUUGUUAAUUUUAGGACCAAAAUGCACUAAUAUUGUAUAGCUAAGGGAAAUAAUUUAACUAAAAUUAAUUUUUUACUUCCGUUAUAGGAAAAGGAUACAUUUGAGUCAUUUGUAUAACAGUAGGGGUAUGUAUGCGUCACUUUCAUAACGAUGGUAUAUCAACUUUAAAUGACAAAAUUGAAGAGUAUAUCAGACCCUUUUCCUAUUAAAGAAUAAAAAUGUCUUUGGUUAAAUGUCUAAAUAUAUAGGACUAUUUAGAGCUUUUUUUCUUUUUGUUUGUACUAAUUCUUUUUCAACAAAUUAGAACUCGACAAGCAUGACUUACUAGCGCAAGUCUCUCUUAAACAUCAACAUCUAACUAUCAUCAUCAACAUUUAAAACUUUAAUUAAUUUUACAAAUUGAUCUUCUUGUCUUAUUCUAAAAAGAAAAGGUUUACUCCUAUACAUAUAAAAAUGAUUUUUUACACAAUUAUAUUAAGGUAUAACUUGUAAGUACAUAUAAAAUAAAGGGAACCAGUAAUAAAUCCAAAAAAGAAUACAAAAUAAGUUUAUCGAUAUUCUCGUUCUACCAUCCAACAGUGUGGAGGGAUGAAUACGAGAUCCUUCAACUCUUAAAUUAGAGAUAUUAAGUUCACACUAGGGCGGGGUUCAAAAUCGAAUCGAAGUCGAUAAUUCGAAUUGAUAAUUUGGUUAUUUGGUCAAUGGUUCGGGUUAAUGAUUAAUUAACAGUUUGGGUCUCGAUUUAAUAUAAACUUCUUAUUGGCUUAUCGGUUCAGGUCUCGAUUUGGCCAUAUUUCUAAUCGAGUGCCCCGAUAACCCGAUAAGAAGUUUAAUUAAUUACAUUUAUAUCAGUUAAGGUGUUAGGCACUUUUAGCUUUUAGGGUUUACACUUCAUUCUUCAGACUCUUUACAAUGACAUUAUAGUUGACACUCAAAUUUCACAAUAAUAUUCCAAAGCUGCGACAUCAUGACUCAUUGAUUCACGGUCUGCUCCCACGUCGGCGAGUUAUAUUGAAUAUCAUUCUCUAAGUGUCUAAAUUGAGGUUCAAUGGUUGGUUCCCUUGAUUUAAGUCUUUGUUUUUAUCUUCUCAUUACAGUGAGUGAGUCAGUGAGAUAUGCUUGCAAUAUUGCAAUACUACAAUCUGCAAUGAAAAAGUUUUUAUUAGUAAUGGUCUCAUGAUCAUUAAUGUUUUCAUUAGUAGUGCUGUAAUGAUUUCUCUUGAUAGUUCAUAUCGAAAUUAGCUUGGUUGUUAUGAGGAACCCUUUUGAGUUUGCCAGUUUGGGCAAUAUUGACAUCUCUGUCCAGGUUAAUAUGGAGUUUUAUUAAGUGUUUUAUGUAGUAAUGGACUAACACAGAAAAGUUCAUCAGUGACUAUUGGCUACUGCAUACGGUUAAUUAGUGAUUAGUCCAUUAGUAAUUCUCAAUGAAAAUUGUGUGAACUGUUAACGGUUAACGGUUAACCCGAUAACUGAACCAAUAACGAUUACUAACCGAUAAACCAAUAACCGACAUCUUAAUAGUUCUAUAAUGAUUUUGCAUGAUUACAAACCGAUAAGUAAAAUCAAUAAAUUUUAAAACCGAACCGAUCGAUACACAGCCCUAAUUCAACUUGAUUUUAAAACAGUCAUGCCAGUAUAUUUCGAAUACGUUACAUUUCUUAGGUUUUUACCAACUUCUACUGUCUUUUAAUUGGUGGGGGGGGAGGGUACCAAGACGACAGAGAUUCUGAAAGGAGUUGCAGUCGUUGGACUAACUAAAAACAAGUGGCCAAAGAGGUUUACAUCAACAUACUCACCAACUACCCAACAUUUCACAACAAGUGCUUCUUACUUUUGUCAAAUACUAAUAAAGUAAUAUGGGCCAAUGUCUCCCUCUCUAAUAGCUUUGUGACAAAGACACUUUCCUUCACGCUUAAUUAGAGGUGUCAAAUAGGCGUGAUCGAGUUAUAUGGGUUAUAAAAGUGGGACAAGUUAAUAAAUGGAUGAAUCAAGAGAAAACUGACAAAUAUAUCUCUGAAUUAUUGUAAAUGGUAUGCAUAUACCCUCCAUCAUAUUUUUGAGACAUUGGUGCCCCUGUCAUCCAAAAACUAGAGCAUAUAUAUAUGUCCUUCACUCUAACGGAAGACUAAAUAAAUAGGGACACGUGACACAAUAAUCUUAUCCAUUGAUCCAAUAUUUAAUAAAUGUCGGGUCGGUGGAUAAGAUUAUGACAUGUGUAUCUCCAUUAGUAUAAAGGGUAUAUAUGCUCUAGUUUUUGGAUGGCAGGGACACCAAUGUCCCAAAAAUAUGACGGAGGGUAUAUGCAUAUCAUUUACGAUAGUUCGGGGUAUAUUUUCCCUUUUUCCCAUGAAUCAAUGACUAGCUUGUUUAAAAGUUACUUAGGUUGAAUGAGUUAAAAGGUGAAUCAUAACAUAAAAUUUUAAUUUCUUUGUUUGUUCUUAUAUGAUUUAUAAAUACCUAAUAUUUUUCUCUCUUUAUUAUAGAUAUAUAUAAACAUUAUCAAAUAAAAAAAUUCAAAAUAUUUUUAUUUUGACAAGAUUUCUCAUGAAUUAAUUUGAGCUAUGUGUCAAGUUAAUAUUUAAGUAAUCUGAACUAGGGUGGUAAAAAUGCAUCGAUCUGCCCAAACUUGCACGAGUUGGGCGGAUCAUAUCUUCAUGCGCUAAUUAUUGAUCCGACCAAAUAUGUAUGUAUGCGAUGGUUGGGCGAUCGAGCUAUAUUUUUAUGGACUAAUUUUGUCACUCCUACACUUGAUAAAUGUAUUUGUUAAUUAGUGAUCCAUUAUGUAGUUUCAAUUUAAAAUAGAGAAUCUGAAUCAUCAAAGAAUUAAUAAUCAGUUUGAGAAGUAUUUCAAGUGAAAUAAUGAAUUUCACUCACGAAACUUUAUCAUUAUUUUUUUUUUAGUGAAAUUCAUGUACAAACAAUAUAACGGUUCACUCUCAAAUAUCAUUUUUUAACGUUAAUUUCAAAUACUUUUUUCCUAUCAAAUUUCAACCAAAUCAAUAUUCAAACAUCGAUGUUACUAAUGUUCAAGUGGAAAAUACGUUUUUGAUCCAUUUAUAAUGAGGAGUAUGUUAUAAAUAAAAUAUAGGCACGUUUUUAGUUGCACUUUACAAGUUUUGUAACUCAAAAAGGUAAAUUUAGUUUACACGAUAUCAAAAGGCAAACUAAAUUUUAAGAAAGUUUGCUAGACUUUUUAAAUUUCGAACACAAAUUUUCUUCGCAUAUUUUUUCGAUCGAGUUGAUCAUUUGAGGGUUACUUAAUGCAAUUUACUUCUCUUGUACUGUGGCUUGCGUCUUUGUGAGGUAUUAUACUAUAAUAGGAUUUACUUUAUAUCACCAAAAAAAAAAAAAAAAACAGAUAUUAUAUAUAUACUGCUGAUAAAAGUUUUUGCAUGGUUUCUUUCCAAGGGGCAUUGAUUUCUUUGAUAGUAUAUUCUAGAGGAAUUUUAUUUAUAAUUUGACCAGAGUACAAUAUGCCUUUUUCAUAGUUGGAUUAUUUACCUUAGAAAAGGAGGAGGUAGAUAGAAGAAAUACAUUCAAAAUUCAUAAGUCUUAGAUUUGAGCUCUUAAAAUAAAAUCGUUUUUAAUAUAAAAUAUUUUUAUCUUAAAAAUUAAAUUCUCAACAUAAAUUUAAUUUAGUUGAACUUCAAUAUUAUACUUAAAUCAAGGUGUGAGUAUACUCUUGACGUUUAUUUUUCUUUUUUCAUUGUGACAAUCAUUGUAUUAGACUUUGAGAAAGCACAAGAAGAGAACAUUUUUGACUUUUUUGUUACUUUUAAGGACAAGAUGUGAGUAAUAUGUGUCAAUAAAUUCAUCUUUGAAAUGAUUUUGCUUCUACUAGUACUAAUUUUUUCUUAUUUCUUUUGUCUCAUUAUGUCUCUCAUGAAAUUUCAUCUAAAAGUAAUGCCUCAUAGCAGUGUAAUUUUGCUUUUUUAUUUUAUUAUAAGUUCAAAAUACAGAUGCUUAUUUUAUUUUUAAAAUGAAACAAAAAAAACAUUAAACAUUGUAUUUGAUUAGGUUUUUGAUACAAUAAUAAGAUAAUUUAGUGUUUAUUUAUGCUUGAAUUGGUAAAGAGAAAUAGAGGUAAUUAUUUUUUACUUUCAAUCAUGUAUCAAUUUAAAAUCUUAAAUAAUACUUAUUUUUUUUGUCUCAAUUUAUAUGUCAUAGUUUAAACUUCGAAACUCAAACCUUUUAAAUUUUGACCGUGAAUUUUGAAAAUUAUGUAAUAUAACUGCGAGGAGGCGGCAUUUUCAAAGUUUUUCGACCUACUAAAGCAGGUAAUACCAUACGCCACACUAAUUAACAAUUUAAAAUAUAUGAAAUUUAUGAUUUUUCGAAAUUCAAACAUUUUAUAAUUUUCACUCCAAAUCCCACACAAAAAUUCAAAAACAAUUUUAAUUAUAUUAAUAUCGAAACAUAAUCAAUUUUCAAUUUAAAGACAAAUGAGUACUACUUUUGUUCAAAUUUCACAAAUUUUAUGUCCAAACGUCCACUUAACGUCCAUGUAAAGAAAAAAAAACAAGGAAACUAAUUGCUGGUCCCAUUAUCAUAUUAAUGUUGUGACAAAUACAUGGUUUUGCCAACAAAAACCAACUAGUACUUACACUAAAGUCUUUGAGAAAUUAAUUAAGUAGGUUUAAUAGAAAAACUUUGCCAUUAUGACACCCCACAAAAUAUACAAAUUUACCAAACUUUGCCAUUAACAUACCCUACUCAGCUAGUCAUACAUAAAAUCCAAAUUAAACCUUGCAUUAAUAUGCAAGUAUGUGGUUGUUUAAACUUUUUUCUUUUAAUUUGUACUGCUUUUAAUUUAUUUUAUUUAAUUAAUUACAUUCUCAGUAACAAAGGAAUAUAUGUUUUUUCUCCAAUCAUGAAGUUUGGAGUUAUAUAUAUUAAGGCUUAACUUAAGCAAAAACUUCCUUUUUUAAUUAUAAUUAAAUUAAAUUAAUAAAUUAUAAUCAAAGGGACGAUAUGUAUAGAUCCCACAUUACAACAUGCAAUGCUAGAGGCAGAUUAAGGAAGGUUCCAUUAGGUUCAUAAUUAAAUCUUGUUUCUUUCGAUUCGAACAUAAUACCUACGAAAAAAA
rnacentral:lncRNA from 1 species